rnacentral:lncRNA from 1 species
GUUGCGAGAGUUGAAGAAUAACUAGAAUGCUCUGUGCAAUGACAACAAAUCGAUCAACUACACCUUAAUCUCAAAUUAGUUGACGUUGACUAUAUAAUCCCAUAUAUCCACACCAUUUAUAGUAUUCGGAGAUUCAUCUUAGUUUAACUAUUCUUAUCCACAUCUACAGCUGUGGAACUCAUAUUACUGAAUACCGAGUUUAUGCAAAUUUUUCUUAUAUGAAACAAUUGUAUGUUCUCCUAUUGGAACAACGCAUCACAAAAACUCCUAUGUUCCAUUACCAAUUCCAAAACAGUUGAGAUCGGCUAUAUUAAUCACUCCAUUCUAUUCUAUGUAGGUCCAUUUACUAAAUCAAGCAAAGUAUCCAAUUAACAUAACUUAAUUGCAGUCAUUUACAAAAACCCCUACUUUAAGUCUUUAACCAACAACAUCAAAGUUCAACUGAUUAUAACAAUUAAGAACAAUCUAGAAAUACAGUCAAACCUCUCUAUAACUGCAUGUUCGUCUUAAUAUUUUUUGGCUACUAUAGCAAAAGCUUGUUAUACAGAAUAUAUAAUAUAACAUGGUAUAAAAAGUCAGUCCCAAAGAUAACUUGACAGUUAUAGGAAAAGGAAAACUGUUAAUAAAGAGGUACGACUGUAAAAGCUCAAAACAACAACAACAAUAUAUCCUUAGUAAUCUCACAAGUGGAGUAGUGUGUGCAAACCUUACCCCUACAGAGAUGCAGUAUCUUAAAGACCCUCGGCUAAGGUGCAACAAAUAUCAAAGUAGUUAUGAAAAAAGGAAAUACGGCAGUAGAGAAAACAUGUCAAUUAAUACGGAAAGCCGUAUAGUAUAGGGCAACAACGGCAGUUGCUGAAAGACCCUAGACUCAAGUGCAGCAAAUCAAAGUAGUUAUAAAAAAGGAAGUACAGCAGUAAAGAAAACAUGUCAAUUAAUAAUGAGAGCAGUAUAGUAUAGGGCAAUAACAACAAAAUAAUGCAAGGGUGGUAACAACAACGAAAUAAUGCGGCAACUGAAACACAAAAGAAUGAGAAAACUCACCAAAGAGCUCCCUUUUGAGAUUUUCAUGCAUAGUAUCAUUGUUGCAAACAAAAAUAUAUCCACCAACAGUUUCAUUUUUUGGUAAAGAUUCUGAUGCUGGCAAAGUCUUGAACUUCUUAUUCUCACUACUAUUAUUAUUAGCACCCAAAUCCUUAUUACUCUCUCUAUUAAUCUUGUUAUUUUUCUUUCCAAAUUUAUUCACAAAUCCAUAAUCAUCCUGAAAAAUACCAUUUUUCCCAUUUCUCUUGUUAUUAUUAACCCCUUUUGAGUUCACCACAAAAUUGUUAAAAUUCAUAGGGUUUGUGUAAACCCCUUUAUUAAAUCCACCAUUUAAACCAACCCCACCACCACCUUUCACGGCUGAGCCACCACCAGCUGCCGCUGCCGCCGCCAUGUCAGCAAUCUUCCAACCAUCAUUACUAAAAAGAUUGUAAUCUGAAUUCAAAUUUUUUGAUGGAUUUAAAGAACUAACAGAGUUAAUCAUACCACCUACUCUGAUAUCAAAGUUUCUUCUUUCUUCAGGCCUUUUAGAUACAUAAUUGCUACUCCAAAUUGAAUCAUUUGAAGACAAAUUUACUAGGUUGUUUGUAUGUAAACGAAGAUUAUCACUGAAUUGGUAGAAAGAUGACUGAUUGUUCUCCAUUUUUUCCUCUUUUUGCUAAAACCCCAGAUGAAAUUUUUUCUAUAAAGAUUGAAUCUUGGCCUAAAACAACAAUGGAAAAAGGCUUUUUCACUAAACCCUAGAUGAUAAUUUGUCCGUAAAGAUUCAAUUUUGGACUAAAAAACAAUGGAAAAGGCUUUAUCACUAAACCCCAGAUGAUAAUUUGUCUGUAAAGAUUCAAUUUUGGACUAAAAGAGUGAAAUUUACAGAUGAACAAAGCUCAAAGAAGAGAUUAUAUUUACAAAAACUCUAAAGUAGUGGUUGGGUUUUAUAAGGAAGGGUGGAGUGAGUAAACGCGGUAGAGGGAAAUUUCGUAGAAAUGAGAGGAAUAAGGAGUGGAAAAACUUAGUCGUGUCAAAUCGUAGUAAUACUUAAUUACGUUAUACUUACCGGGGUGUUCACGAUUUGGAUAAAAAUCAAUUCAAAUAGAGAAAUAAAAUCAAAGCGAUAAUAUAUAAACUGAUUUUAUUUGGAUUUGGUUUGGUUUUAGAUUUUAAAAAAUCGACAGUAUUUGGUUUAGUUAUGGUUAUGUUCGGAAAAAAUCGAAGGAAUCGAACCGAAUCGAUAAAUUAUAUACAUAUAUUUUAUUAUCAUACAUACCUAAUAUAUUAUUUUUAUAAACAAUUUUAAAGAUAUUAUAUGUUAUCAUUAAAAUUUAUUUAUAAUUUACUUAUUGAAAGCAAAAUUGUCCAAGGUGAGAACAUUUAUGUUAGUUUCAUGUAUACGAGUGUAUGAGACUAUGACAAUUCUUUGUGAGACUAAAAUGUCACUGUUUUUUCUUUCUAGGCCAAAAUAGUGAAUUUUGAAGCUUUAUUCAUUAUAAAUUCAGUGAUCAAAAGUUUUAUAAUGUCAGUCAUUCUAACUAUUUUUCAAUUUGAAUUUAUUGUUGUCACUUUUUUCACGUUUAGAAUGAACUGUUUCUUUUAUUUUUGUGUAUGGUUAAUAACCGAACUAUAUCGAACUGAGACCGAUAACAACCAAACCAACAAAUGUAUAUUAUAUUUGGUUUGGUUUGGUUUGGUUUUGAUUUUGACCAAUAGCCGAUCAAACCGACCUGUGAACACCCCUAAUACUCAAAUUGUAGUGCGGUGAUUGAGCUCGUUCACUCUUUAAUCAGGGAUCUCAAGUUUGAGCCGAUAUUGAGAAAAUCUUGUUGGAGUGUCACCUUGAAGGGGCCCUGCAAUGUGUAUUUGAAAAUUUUAUUAGGAGCGUCAUUCCCGAAUGGGCCCUGUAGUGUGCGAUCCGAAUUUAGUCGAGGCUCCAGUGUGGGCUCCGGACACCGAGUGGGAAACUAAAAAAAAAUACAUUAUACUUUCAUCUAGCUUUAUUUGUCUACGGUAUUAUUUGGGAUGACCAACAAUACUUAUCUAGUUUAUAAAUCAAUGAAUAAUUUAUGAUUGUGCCUCUAUUUUACCCUUACUAUUAUAUAGUAUUCAUUUUUCAAUGUUAACAUGACUUAUAUUUAAGGAAAAAUUACCUAAAUACACAAAAAAAAUUUUAUCAUAUUCUCUAAAAUUCUCUACCAUUUAAAAAAUUACAAAAUCUCUACUCUCUCGUAUUCUCGGAUACAUCACUUUACGCGAUAUAUCAGGACAUUGUGUGAUGUAUCCGAAAUCGAGACGCAAUGUAUCGGGACGUUGAGUGUUGUAUCCGAAAUCGAGACGUGAUGUAUUGGAACGUUGAACAAUGUAUCCGAAAGCAUGACACGAUGUAACGAGACAUUUUGGGAUGUAUCCGAAUUUCACCAAAUUUAAGGAUUUUUUGUAAUUUGGAAAAGUUUAAAAAUAAGAUGUAAUUAGCUCUUAACAUUAUGAGAUUUGCAUAAAUUUCCUAUAUUUAAUGAAGGUGAUUUGAUAAAAUUAUCCCUAUCAUUUACUGCUUACGUCAAGUUAAUUAUAAGUACAGUAAUUAUUAUUGGACACAGAAAAUAAUGAUUAAUAACUUCUUUUUUAAUCUAGUUAUUAAUCAUGUUAAAAUUAGUAUAAAUAUAUACUAACAUGUGCCUUUACAUAAAUUAUUACCUAUAGCUCGAAAUAAAUCAUGUAUGGUUCACUUUGAUCUAAUAAACCUCACGAAUUUGUUUUUAAAAUGUGAACAUCACUUAACUUAUGUUAUAUUUUAUAAAGUCGUUCAUUUUCUUCUCCCAUUUGUUAAAAAGUCAUUUUGGAAAAGUGAUGGACAAUUGGUCUCCUUACAUAGACUUGCACAAUUAACUUAUAAGCUAGAAUUUGGGGCUGAAUUACACCCAAAAUUCAUUUUUACACCAUUUAAAUAAAGAUUCACCUAAAAUAUCAUGUACAUCUUUUCUAUAGAAGUUUGUCGACCUAAAAUCUAGUCAACUCUUCUUUUAAUUGAUCUGCUCUUCGUAUUGGGCGUCACAUACGCUCCCUUAUAAGGGUUCAACAUUCUCACUAAAAUUGUCUUUGCUACUGUAUUGAGGGAGUGUCCGACUCUUAACAUUAUUUUUUUCAUAUUCUUAACCUAUGACAAAUAUCUUUUGUUAAAGCCCAACAUAUCUUACAAAUGUAUUUCCUUGAAUUACAUUAUUAUCAAACUUAAAAAUAUGGGUAAUAAGUAAAGUUGUGAUAUAAUUUAUAAGAUUAUUUAUAUUUUCUCUUAUUCAAAUAUAAAAUUUACCUAAAAUAUCAUAUGCCUCCAUCUUUUUAAAAUAUUAUCAACAUAAAAACAUAUCAAUCUUUUUUUUAUCGACAAUCUAUAUAUCUAGGCGAAGCGACUAAAAGUAUAUUCGUUGAAAAAGGAAAAAUAAAAUAAAUUUUGAUGAAAGCAAAAGGGAAGAAAGUAGUAAUUUCACUAUAAAUAGUGUGGGGGUUAUUUUAGGUGAGCUAAUCAAAGAGUGAAUGGUGACAUAAAAACACGGUUUAGAAGAAAAAGACAUUUAAGAUGAGUUUUGAUUAAUGUAUGUAUAAGUAGUUCAAAAAAUAAAUCAAAACGUCAUUAUUAAUUAAUUAAUGUAUGUAUAAGUAGUUCAAUUAUACCAUCAAACUAUUUUUUUUUUUUUUAAAAAUUACUAUGUGAUCAAUCGAUUGGUGUAGAGAAUUUUUUUUGUAAUUUCUUCUAAGAUUUGUGAGGUUAUACGAUCAAGAAAAUAUUUUAAUAUUUAGUCAAGUGUUGAAAUUAACUUUGUAAGAGUUGAACUUAAUGACAAUUAUAGGUUUGGGUGACAAUUAGGAGAUAAUUAUAAGAGAUAACCACAACAUGAUAGAUUUCAUAAUAUGUUUAGCUGAAUUUCCAAAAUUUGUUUAGUUAGAAAAAAAAAAGUAAAAUAUUUUUUUAAAAUACUAUUAAAAAUAAUUAGUUAUAUUUGAUUAAUCAACUUAAAUAAUUUUUUAUUAAUAUAAUAAUAUUAAUUUAUGCUUAAUUAAGAUUUUAAAAUUAGUUCUUGGAAAAUGCUACUUUUUAUGCUUCUGAAAAACCAACGUUUUAUUAUUAUAAAAUGAUCAAACACUUCAAUAACUCCACUUUUUAAAAUAACCAUUUUUCCAAAAAGAAUAUUUUAUUUUUCAAACAAUUGACCAAAUAAGAUAUACUAUUCAGAUCCUCUAACAUCCAUCUAGAAGAUCAUAUUUAUUCUACUAGGUUGGGUUUCAAAAUUAAGAAAAAAGCAAAUGGGUGAGGUAAUAUUCCUUAUUUAUUUAUAUAUGUAUUUAUUUAUUUGUUUUACUUAGUUGCUAAGUUAAGCUUCAAUCUGUGAGAGGUGCACUUAGACAUGUCAAUUCAUGUGGAAACAGUCAACCCAAAGUUUACUUCGUCCAAGUUUUUUUUUAAAACAAUUAACAUGAUAUGAUAUUAACCGUUUAAAUUAAAUUAGCUUAAUUUUUUUUGGGAAAAAAAGAUUUUGCAUUAUUAAGAAUGUCAUUAUAUAUUAUAGGGAAAAGGGUUUGAAAAAUACUCUAACUUUGGCCGAAAUUGCUAUUACGAUACCAAACUUUAUGGUGGACAUUUUACCCCCUGCACUAUUUAAUAGUGUAUUUUAAAGGUAUAUAUGUGCCCACGUAGACACAUUAAUAUUUAUAAUGAUGCAAUAUUUAUGAUGUCCGCGUGGGCACAUAUAUACCUUUAAAAUACACUAUUAAAUAGUGCAAUUUGUUUUACUUAGUUGCUAAGUUAAGCUUCAAUCUGUGAGAGGUGCACUUAGACAUGUCAAUUCAUGUGGAAACAGUCAACCCAAAGUUUACUUCGUCCAAGUUUUUUUUUAAAACAAUUAACAUGAUAUGAUAUUAACCGUUUAAAUUAAAUUAGCUUAAUUUUUUUUGGGAAAAAAAGAUUUUGCAUUAUUAAGAAUGUCAUUAUAUAUUAUAGGGAAAAGGGUUUGAAAAAUACUCUAACUUUGGCCGAAAUUGCUAUUACGAUACCAAACUUUAUGGUGGACAUUUUACCCCCUGCACUAUUUAAUAGUGUAUUUUAAAGGUAUAUAUGUGCCCACGUAGACACAUUAAUAUUUAUAAUGAUGCAAUAUUUAUGAUGUCCGCGUGGGCACAUAUAUACCUUUAAAAUACACUAUUAAAUAGUGCAGGGGGUAAAAGGUCUUUUCUAAAGUUCAGUAUCGUAACAACAAUUUCGGUUAAAAUUCGGAUAUAUUUCAGACCUUUUUCCCUAUAUUAUAAGUAACUUAUUCUUUUGUUUUAAAUAUUAAUAUGAAAUUUUGUUCACUAAUUUCACAAUUUUUUUCUCAAACUAAAUUUUACAUGAAUCAUGAUCUAAUGGUCACUUCUUCUUUUUUGGUGUGUGUAUCUAUGCACGAUGCAUCUUCAAAGCUAUAAAUAAAGAUAAUAAACCACUUCUUAGAUGAUGCAAAAACAUUAUGUUGAAUCUCACGCCAUUACUAUGCUAUCUUCAUGUCCAUCUUGCCAAAAUUAUUAAAUCUGUUAGAUAUCACUUGUUGCGCUAAUUCAGUCCAAAUACUUUUAAUAUGACAUGAUAUUAUCCGCCUGGAUUAAACCGACACGAUUUUUCUCUUGUAAAUUCUCUUUCUUGCACAUAAAAAGGCAAACACUUAUAUUUCCUUACAAACACAAUGGUAGUAUGGGCUGAAGCAAAGUGGACUUUGGGAAGCCCAACUUUCAAGCCCAUAUGAUAAUCCAAACAUUAAUGAGGUGUGAUCCACAAUUAUAUAGUCCAAGUGAGCAAAAACCAUAGCUCCAUUUUGUUUUAUUUUCUUACAAAGUUUAAUUUAAUUCAUAUAUUUCUGAUUAAGAUAUAAGAGCAACUUUCACAUAUAGCAAACACAAAAUUCAUAUUUGUAUGCUAUAGCAAAGUUUGCAUAAUUGCGCUCCAUAGCAAACAUAAAUAUGUAUAUUUCGCUAUACAUAUACAAAAGAAAGCAGUUGUAUACAAAAGAUCAAUNNNNNNNNNNNNNNNNNNNNNNNNNNNNNNNNNNNNNNNNNNNNNNNNNNNNNNNNNNNNNNNNNNNNNNNNNNNNNNNNNNNNNNNNNNNNNNNNNNNNNNNNNNNNNNNNNNNNNNNNNNNNNNNNNNNNNNNNNNNNNNNNNNNNNNNNNNNNNNNNNNNNNNNNNNNNNNNNNNNNNNNNNNNNNNNNNNNNNNNNNNNNNNNNNNNNNNNNNNNNNNNNNNNNNNNNNNNNNNNNNNNNNNNNNNNNNNNNNNNNNNNNNNNNNNNNNNNNNNNNNNNNNNNNNNNNNNNNNNNNNNNNNNNNNNNNNNNNNNNNNNNNNNNNNNNNNNNNNNNNNNNNNNNNNNNNNNNNNNNNNNNNNNNNNNNNNNNNNNNNNNNNNNNNNNNNNNNNNNNNNNNNNNNNNNNNNNNNNNNNNNNNNNNNNNNNNNNNNNNNNNNNNNNNNNNNNNNNNNNNNNNNNNNNNNNNNNNNNNNNNNNNNNNNNNNNNNNNNNNNNNNNNNNNNNNNNNNNNNNNNNNNNNNNNNNNNNNNNNNNNNNNNNNNNNNNNNNNNNNNNNNNNNNNNNNNNNNNNNNNNNNNNNNNNNNNNNNNNNNNNNNNNNNNNNNNNNNNNNNNNNNNNNNNNNNNNNNNNNNNNNNNNNNNNNNNNNNNNNNNNNNNNNNNNNNNNNNNNNNNNNNNNNNNNNNNNNNNNNNNNNNNNNNNNNNNNNNNNNNNNNNNNNNNNNNNNNNNNNNNNNNNNNNNNNNNNNNNNNNNNNNNNNNNNNNNNNNNNNNNNNNNNNNNNNNNNNNNNNNNNNNNNNNNNNNNNNNNNNNNNNNNNNNNNNNNNNNNNNNNNNNNNNNNNNNNNNNNNNNNNNNNNNNNNNNNNNNNNNNNNNNNNNNNNNNNNNNNNNNNNNNNNNNNNNNNNNNNNNNNNNNNNNNNNNNNNNNNNNNNNNNNNNNNNNNNNNNNNNNNNNNNNNNNNNNNNNNNNNNNNNNNNNNNNNNNNNNNNNNNNNNNNNNNNNNNNNNNNNNNNNNNNNNNNNNNNNNNNNNNNNNNNNNNNNNNNNNNNNNNNGAACGAAAAUAUAUGUAUUUAUACAAUUUUCUCUCGCUUUAUACAAACACAAACGCACUUUAUACACUUGCGUUUGUAUAAAAAAAGAGAGAGGCGAGGGAGAGAACGAGAGUGGCGAGCGAGAUUCACCAGGAGUGAGGUGAAAUAGCAACAGUUUGCUAUGAGGUACAAUUAAAUCAAACUAUAUUUAUAGCAUUUAAUUUGAAUUAAUAGUUUGCUAUUAUAUACAAUUUUCCCUUUUAAUUGGAUGCUUAUUUAUUAUAAUUUAAUGUAAUAGGGAAGUGUAAAGAUCUUAUGCAGAAGUGUUUUUUUUAGGUCAAGGUGUGAUCUAACAAUUGAUAAAUUAAUUAACAAUCAGAAUUCAAAUUCUAGCAGAAACAUCUUUUUAAUAUGUUAAAAUUAUUGGACAAAAAAUCAUUAUCCGAUAUUUGGGGUUAAUGAAAGGUACUUAUUAAUAAGUAUAUAACAAAAUAACCGAGGUAUGCACAAAAUUAUGACGCUCAUAAUAGAGGACUAGUCAAGGAAAAUAACUAAUAAGUUUUUAAAGAAGAGGUACAUAUCACACCUUAAAUAAAUUCUAUAUCGGAAUAAGAGAGACAAGUGAAAAUUUUAUAGGACAUGACAUAAAUUUAUAUGUGCACACACUUUUGGGCUCAAUAAUGACGUAGAAUUAGAGACAAAUCCAUAAGGCCCGUUAUAUUGAGUCCAAUUGAAUAAUACGUAUCAUGAAUUUGGAUCGUGACAUAAUUGUAUUGAAACAAUGAGCACUAUUGUUACAAAAAAAAAGAUAGAUGGGAGGGAUAAGACAUUCUGAUUGUGUGAGACUUCUUUUUGUCUCACAAAUAGGUGGAUCCAAAUUUUAUUUGUUCGAGUCCAUAUAUUUUGGAUCUCAUUAACUUGUUAUAUAAAACGAAGUUUCACACAAUUAUUAUUACAGUUAUGCGAGAUAUGAAAUAAUUUUUUCUCGAAGAAAUAAAAUUUCAUAAAUAAUAUUUCAAGUUUAUUGUUUCUUUCCACCCAUCAAAUGCCCCUUAACUCUCAUUCCUUGACCAUCUCAUCCCUUGCCACUUCUUAGCCCACUCCCACUCCUCAUUCCGCACUUCAUUGAUUCAUAUAAUAUUUUGUCAGAUUAUAUAUAAAUAUUUUUAAAAUAAUAUUUUUAAUCUACUUACAAACUCAUUGAACACUAAAAAAUAAUUAAGAAAUCAGUCCAUUUUACUUCCUACUCCCACUCUAGAUCCUCAUCUAACUUGUAAAACAAAUUAAAGAAAAAGAUACCCCAACUAAUAAUGUUGGUCAAGAGAAAGAUGCAUAUGCCAUAAGUAAUAAAGUAGCAUGAAACUGUCCUGUUAUUUGUUAACAUACUAUAAUUAACUCUAUUUUUUUGUACUAAAAGUUUAAUUUUUGCAACAAAAAGAAACACCACUAAAUAAAUAUAGUAUUAAACAUUGAAGCCAUGGUUUAUACGUCAUGCCUUGUGUCAUCAUCUUCUAUUUAAAAUUCUAAAAUUCAUUGCUAGUUAAUAAGUGGCAAGCUAGCAAGCUAGCCUAUAUCAAAGUGGAGGAUCUAGAACAGGUUCCGCAGAUUUAACUGAAUCUAUUAUUUUCGACUUAAAUUAUCUGUGAAAUAAUGAAAACUUAAUAUAUACAAUCGAACAAUAAUAAUAUACUUAAUAUGAUUUCACAAGUAAAAUUUAGAAAAAGUAAAAUGUAUGUAAUUUGUAGUACUCCUACUAUCAUGUAAAGAAUAAAAAUAUUAUUUCUGAUAGACUUUCGACUUUGAUCCAAUCCUAGGAUAUAUAAUGUAUGCCACUCAAUUAUUAUAUUUUCCUUAAUUUCCAAUAAUCAUCAUUUGCUUAUGUAGAAGCAAUAUUAAGAGGGUUAAAUGAAUGUCCACUUGACUAGUAAAUAUUCCUAUUUGCCCAUGAUUGUCUUCACAUCAAUAUAUUACAUACUCAAUACAAAUUGAAAUACAGGUGUGAGGUGUCAAUCUGUAAAGUUUGGUAUAAUAAUACAAACUACUAAUAUUUUUAUUAUAUGAAACAAAGAGGAGCAAACAGUACACACGAAUGCAUUCAAACGUAAUUCUAUUGGUUUGUUUUUCUUUAUCCAUUUUCUCUAAUGAAAAUAAAUACCUGAACAAAAGUUAAAGUAUUCACUUAAACUAUUUUGUUUUUCAUCGAACACUUAACAUAUGUUCAUUAUGUCACUGUUUAACUUGACAUACUCAUUACGAAAAUAAUUAUUGAUAUAGAUAUUUAUCAAACUAUCCCAAUAAAAUGAUAUUUUAGUAUUAGGUCUUAUAAAAUGAGUUGUUGAAUAAGUAUUUAAUGGUGAAUGUGAAGUAUGGAAAAAAAAAUACUACUGUAAUUAUUUUUUCUUGAAAUACAAAUAAGAAUUAAAAUCUAUUUUAGAAAUAACUGACAAGUAAGAGUGAACGGAUGAAGUAAUAAAAUGUUCUUAUUCAAAUAUUUUUAAUUCAAAGUUUUUGAAAUUAUUCUCUAUCGUUUAUCACAUAGAUAAGUUAACAACUUAAAAUAUAACACCUCGUUGUGUUAUGAACAUUCAUCUUAACAAGCUAUAAAACUUUAGAAUAUGUUUUAAUUGAUGUUGGUGCAUAUAAUUAAAUGAGAUGUUAUAUUUUAUUAUGUAAUUUAUUUAUGUCAUGACACUUGAGAAUGCAUGCAUAUAUUUUUUCUAAAAUAUGAGCCGAAGGUGUCUAACAUGAGCAUUUUAUUAUAUGUUCAGAUGUUUAAAUCGAAACAAAUUAUUAUAAUAUGAAUAUCUAAAUAAAAUUUACUUGUAAGUUUAAGUAGAAGUCGUUGGAUUCACCCUAUUUUUGUAUCAAAAUUAAUAGAUAUAAUACAUAAACGUAAACUUAUAUAUAACUCUUUAACCCUCUAAUUUUUUUGUGCGCAUAAACAGACACUUUAACUUAUAUAUAACUCUGAAUAUGUAACAUCUUGAGUGGCGUCUUAUACAACAAUUUGCAUAAAAUCAAUUGUAUUGUGUCAAGUAGAAUUUGUAUAUCUACUUAUAUAGUUAUAUAAAUGCUAUCCAAUGACGAGUUAAAAGAAGUAUUUAUAUAUUAUAUCAAAUUGACAAAAUUACCCUCACACGCUUUUCGAAGCACUUAUAUAGUAACUUUAAACCAAAACACAUGUUUUAAUUAUACACUGUAUAUCUACUUCUCAGAAACAGCAAGAAAAAGCUCUGUUUUGAACGGCCCGUUAAUAUCACCGAUCACCGGCAGCUUCCGUUACCGCCGGCGGAAUUAGAAAAGUUUUCAGCUUGAACUCCUCCGUUUUAAAGGGUGUCCAAAUAUGCAAUUAUUAUUUUUUCUUUUUAACUCUAUUUAUUAUUACUAAGAAAUUUAUUCCUGUGUAAAUGCAAGAUUUAGAGUUCCUAAUUCUAAAAUUGUAUCUAAUUUUCAUUUGUGACAAAGAUACAAACUUUUAGUCAUAAUUUUUUUAGAUUUUUUUUCAUUAUAUAUAGUUCAAGAACAUCUAUUGCCAAAAAAAUUGAUACCCAUGUAGAGAAAUGAAGUUAAUUUAGCCUACAAAAAGUUAAGGAAUUUUUGAGCCAUUGUAGAUUUCUGAUUCAGAAUUCCAUUUUAAUGGAGAAUAAAGGGUAUUUUAUUUCAAACCAGCAGCAUCAGCAACACAAUUUCUCAGCUGCUGAAGGUUUGAUUUUUAUUUAUUUUUUAAAUUUUUUUGGGGUAUUAUUAAAGAAUUCAAUUUAUUUUUUAUUUUUUUGUAAAAAUGUUUACUUUUGAAUUUGUUUUUGGAAAAAGUUUCAGGUGAAAAUGAAUUGUACCAAGAGUUAUGGAGAUUGUGUGCAGGUCCAUUAGUUGAUGUUCCAAAAAAUGAAGAAAGGGUUUACUAUUUCCCACAAGGUCACAUGGAACAAGUAUGUUUUUUUUUCUUCUUUUUGUUUCAAGUUUGGCUUUAUAUCAGUAGAGGAAGUUAGGAGGGUUGUGGUGGAGUGAUAUGUACUCUUUCGGAUUUAACUAGAGGUCUCGUAUUCACCUCUGUUGAAUACGGAGUCCUCUUUGUUAAGGAGUGAUUUAAGGUACUUUCCAGUGUGAAUGCGGAUUUAGUGGUCCCAAUGCAGGUAGUGUAGGUAUAAAUUUGUUUCAGUUUUGGUUUGAAUCAGAGGUGGAACUAACAAUGGUGGUGUGGUAAGUACACAUUUCAUCCUUAACAACAAGAAGUCUCGUGUUUGAGCUCUGUUGGGCAUGGAGUUGCCUUUGUUAGUGAGCACUUUACUGGACUUUCAAGUGUGAAUGCGGAUUAAGUGGUCCCAAUGUGGGUAUUAGAGGUAUUAAUUUGGUUUUGAAUCAGAGGCAGAAGCAACAAGGUUUGUAGUGGAGUGGUACGUACUCCUUUUGUACUUAACCAAAGGUCUCGUGAUGGAGCUCUACUUGGUAUGAAAUCGCCUUUGUUAUGGAGUGCUUACUAGAUUGUUCGGUUGGAAAUUUGGAUUUAGUGGGGCCCCAACAAGCGGAUGUGGUGCAUAAGUUAUAGGCUGAUCUAAACCAGCAAUUUUUGUUCAGAACCCUGUAUAUGUGUAAAAGAUUCACCAAAUAAGUACAAAUAAUAGAUUUCCAACUCAACGAAUUGCACGGGCAAUGGUAGAUUUCAUCUUGAGCAAUUUUUAAUUAUUAAUAGGUGGCAUUUUUUUGGUCAUAUAAAAUAAACCGAAAUUUUUAAUAGGGAAAACGGUUUCCAUUAGCCAACAAUGGCAACUCUGGGCCAUUUGGCUACCAGCAUAGUUACGAACGAGACACUUUUGAAACGGAGGAUAAAGUUGCUCUAUAUCAAAUGCAUUAUGAGAAUACGUGUCCCUUUGCCAUAUUCGUUGUUGUUGUUUGUUUCUGAGUUUGAUUUUGUGGUAUGGAUAGUUGGAGGCAUCAACAAAUCAGGAGCUGAAUCAGAGAAUACCAUUGUUCAAUCUGCAACCAAAGAUCCUUUGUCGCGUUCUUCACAUUCAACUUCUGGUAAUUAGCUGUACUUUCACCGUUUUCUUGUUUUAGUUAAACAGUAAUGUUUCUAUGUAUUAGGUUCAUGCAUAUAUAAACUACUAAAAAAAAACAAGAAUUAGCAACAAACAAAUUUUGUAGUUGAACUACAAUCAAAUAAUUUUGUUAGCUACGAGCUAUUUAGACGUAGAUUAGCGACGAAGUUCGUAUAGCUAAUUCUAGGUUAUUUCUGAAGAAAAAAGAAGUUAUAAUGAGGACUUUCUCAUUGAAAAUUCGUUGUAGGCUGAGCAAGAUACUGAUGAGGUUUAUGCGAAGAUUGCUUUGUUGCCCGAAGCAGAUGUAAGAACUUAAAGAACCUACUUUCUUGCUUGUAUGAAACUCUGUUGUGUUCACUUGGUCUUUUAUGUUCUGUUGGCCAAUUUUCCUAUAAUUGCUUUCAUCCAAUUUAGCAAGUUGAGCCGACUAGUCCUGAUCCGUCCCUGCCCGAGCCUCCGAGGCCCAAAGUUCAUUUCUUCUGCAAGGUUCUAACUGCAUCUGAUACGAGCACUCACGGUGGAUUUUCCAUUCUCAGGAAACAUGCUAAUGAAUGCCUACCUCCCCUGGUAAUAUAUUUGAUCCUUUGUUGUUACAUUCUAUAGUCUGUCCAUUUUGAGAAAAUGAUGCAUUACCUGUCGAUUUUGUGAUGCUAUAUUUUUUAAUGCAGGACAUGAACCAAACGACUCCAGCACAGGAAUUGGUCGCCAAGGACCUUCAUGGCUUCGAGUGGCACUUUAAACAUAUAUUUAGAGGUAAUUAUUUGACAACUCGUAGUGUCCAAUUUGGUUUGACAACAACAAAAAGAUGAUAGCGAUGACACUUUAUCAAUUUGUUAUAUGGCCCAAGUGCUCACUCUUGAUUCUUGACUAACAGGCCAACCCCGGAGGCAUUUACUUACCACAGGGUGGAGUACCUUUGUUUCCUCGAAGAGAUUAGUUACGGGGGAUUCUUUUGUAUUCUUGAGGUUUAUAUCUGGUGCUUAUUUGUCUAUUGCGCUUUAAAUCUAUCAUAUUCAUCACUAUUUAUUCAUUAUGUUGUGCAAAUAUGUCGUGUUUAGGAGGGACAAAGGUGAAGUCCGAAUAGGAAUUAGACGACUUGCUCGCCAACCGAGCUCAAUGCCACAAUCAGUGAUUUCAAAUCAGAGCAUGCACCUAGGAGUGUUAGCUACUGCAUCUCAUGCUGUGACGACCCAGACUAUGUUUGUUGUUUAUUACAAACCGAGGUUUCUCUUAUGCAUCUCUUUUCUUAAAAGAUUGAACUUUAGAUGUCAAGGGGAGCCUUGGCGCAACUGGUAAAAUUGUUACCAUGUGACCAAGAGGUCAUGGAUUCAAGCUGUGGAAACAACCUCUUGCAGAAAUGCAGGGUAAGGCUGCAUACAAUAGACUCUUGUGGUCCGGCACUUCCCUGGACCUCUCGCAUAGCGGGAGCUUAAUGCACCGGGCUGCCCUUAUUAUGUCCUUUCAGCAAUGUUGAAAUUAGUUUGUUUUUUUUUGGGUGAGAAUAUGCUAAAUGUUGCCUAUGUUCUCAAUAUUGUGUGUGGAAAAUCUUCAGAACAAGUCAGUUUAUCGUAGGCCUAAACAAAUAUCUUGAGGCUGUUAAGCAUCGGUAUUCAGUUGGCAUGAGAUUCAAGAUGAAUUUUGAAGGGGAAGAGAUUCCUGAGAAAAGGUGGUAAAACAUCAACUUUAUUGAAGCUCGAAUUAACGAGAUGUUUCUCUACCGUAUAAAGUUUCUCAAUAUACUGCAUUUCUGAUCUCUAUUUUCUUUUUUCUUCGGUUGUUCCUUCGUAAUUUCCCAGAUUUACAGGUACCAUAGUAGGAGUUGAAGAUAGUUCCUCACAGUGGAAAGAUUCAAAAUGGCGAUCAUUGAAGGUGGAUAUAAUUUGGUUGUUGUCGACAUUGAAUGAAUCAAUACAUUUGGAUUGAUGUAAAAUUUCAUUAUUUUUCUUCCAUCUUUCCAGGUUCAAUGGGAUGAGCCUGCAUCUGUUUCAAGACCUGACAGAGUUUCUCCUUGGGACAUCGAACCAUUUGUGGCGUCAGUCGCUACUCCUCUCGUUCCACCAAUGGGGGUGAAGAAUAAAAGGCAUCGAGCACAUAACGAACCCAAAACUUCAGGUGGAAACAAGCAUAUUCAUAUUCCAUGGCAUGUUUUUUUAGUCAUCCUAUUUAGUUUUCUAUUUUCAUUUUCUUGAUUAUUAUUCCGUUAUUUUCCUGCUAGAACCUGUCCCUGCAGCUGCACUAGCCGCUUGGAUUCCUUCAACGCAAUUUAACCCCGUUAUUGAAGGACAAAGUAGUGAUAAUCCAUUUUCUUUGCAUACUUCACAAACACAUUCAACUACCAACAGUACUUUUAAGGUUCAUGAAGAUGGAAUUUGGUCAGCUUCUAAAGUAAGUGCUUCUUUGAAUAUGCUUUUGGAUGAGACAGAAGGCAGUAAAAGUGCUUCACCUCGGCCUGCUUUUCCAAGCUUUGCGUCCUCACAAUUCGGAAAGCAGAACGAUCUCCUGCUUCCUUGCCUAGACGAUGAGAGAAAACGUGAUACAAUUACAUCCUGUAGAUUGUUUGGUAUUGACUUGAAAUCCCCCUCAUUUGGUUCUGUUAAUGAGAAUCCGCCUCUAGAACCAGCCAACAAUUCCGAUGGCUCUGCUGAAGGGUGCUCUGGAAACACGACUUCUGCUGGUGAUUCAGAAGACAACUCUGGCCUUUCAAGAGAUUCCGAAGAUCAGAAGCAAGAGCAGCUGAAUCUGCCACCAAAGGAGGUUCACAUCAAGCAGAUUUCUUCCACCAGAACUCGCACCAAGGUAUGAAAACCAAAACGAGAAAGUAAAUUGUGUUUUUCCAUGUUCGUUACUACUCCAAAGACGUCAAUAGAAAUAAAAAUACUUUUUUAGCUUACAUGAAUUCCUUGAGAAGGUUCAAAUGCAAGGCGUAGCUGUGGGACGUGCUGUGGAUUUAACAAAACUGAGUGGAUACGAUGAGCUCCUAAAGGAACUCGAAGAGAUGUUCGAUAUCCAGGAAGAGCUCCACACACGAAAUAAAUGGGAGAUCGUUUUUACAGACGAUGAAGGUGAUAUGAUGCUUAUGGGCGAUUAUCCUUGGCCGUAAGUGUUUCUUUCUCCAUUUACAACUUAAAAUUAAAAGUAUGUAGCUCAUAUGCGAAUCCAGGAUUUGAGGUUUAUGAGUUCCUACAACGACCUCAAGUUAAUAUAUAAAAAUAACUGGGUUCCUACAACGACCUCAAGUUAAUUUCUUAAUACGUAUAAUACAUGUGAUCCAUAAACUCAUAAGCUAGCUCUGCCCGUGAAUUAUAAUAUAGCUACAUGUAAGAUCUCUCAUACUUUGCAUAUCAUAAUAUGGUGCUCAAUUAUUCACAGAGAGUUCUGCAACAUCGCGAAGAGGAUCUUCAUUUGUUCUAGUCAAGACAUGAAAAGUUUCAGUGCAAGAACCAAAUCGCCGUCUUGUUUAGAAAGUGAAACAACUACUUCAACAUGAAAACCGCUCAUAAGCUACACUACUUACAUCUGUCAGGAGCGAAGACUCCAUUUCGUCCUUGAUCGUGUUUUCCCAAUUGUGACCUUCAUUUCUUAAAAAGUUUCGGCCUUGUUGACUGCCAACAGGUAUCUGCAAUCUUCAAUAAUAACGCUUAGAUUAUGAGACUCUAUGUCGUCUUGUUGAAUAAGCUUGACAACAAGCAAAUAGUUGAAUCUUUUUUCAUCAUUUAGUGGAGUUAGUAUUAGAAGCUUGUGUAUAUGUAAUUUAAUGAUUCUGGUGGAGGUUUGGUUGUUGUAUCUCUGUAGUUGUACUUACUCAAGUGGGGUUGUUGCAACAGGAAAAACUUACUUACAUCUAGUGUUUAUGUAAAAUCAAUAAGUAUAUGAGGCGUAUAUUCUAUAUAUACGCGUUUAUCGCUUAAAUUUGUUUGAUUUAAAUGCAUUCUCACCUCAUUUUGUCACUUAACAAUUGCAUAUUCAUAUGGUUUGGUUGGGUUUUAAAGGUAUGAAUAGGAAAUGAAGAGUUGUGACUUUGCCGAAGGGUUGUGACCUCAAUGAAAAGUUGUGUCUUUUCUAAAGGGUUGUGCCUUUUUCAAAGGGUUAUGACCUUUCUUAAAGGUAGUCCUUUUUUCAAAAACUUGUGAUCUUUUACCAUUUGUUGGCUAUAAAUAGAAAGUUUUUCUCUCAUUUUUCAGCAUUGAAUUCUUCCCUUCUUCUGCAUACAUUUCUUACAAACAAAAUCGAUCGUGUAUGUGAUUCGUUGCUAUCUUUUUGAGUUCGUUGAAAUUAUCGAAGUUUGAGGUGCCACUAUUUCUUUAAUGGUUAAUCCAUUUUAUCUUGGGAGGAAUUAAUCUAUAACCUCGGGUACUUGAGGGGAUUAAAUUUCUUAAGGAUACAUAGUGGGUUCUAUGAACUCGGAUAGUUCCUUUCUUUUUCUUUUCAUAUUUUUAUUAAACAUUGUAUGCGGAUGAAUAUUUAACAUAUUUUCAUCUUUAUCAUUCUUCCGAGUUUACCAUGAUACAAUACUUAUUAUUUUAGGGGUCGUUUGGUAGAGUGUAUAAAAAUAAUGCUCAAUAGAGUGUAUUAGUAAUGUUUGUAUUAGUUAUACUUGCAUUAGUUAUGCAUAAAUUAUUUCUUAUGCAUUGUUUGGUUUGUUGUAUUAAAAAUAGUAUGCAAUUGUAUAAAAAUAUUUAUUUACAAAAGUAUCCUUCACAAUUAUAGUGGAAAAGAUGUAAAAGUGCUUUUGAGGGGUAAUUGAGUCUUUAACCAUGAUAAUACAUGUAUUAAUUAAAUCCUUUGCAUUGCUAAUACCUAGAAAUCUGAUAUUAGUAAUACACUCCUCAAUACACAAUAGAGUGUAUAUCAUUAGUUAUACAUAGCAUGAAAAAAUACACCAAAUAAGGGAUUACUACUAAUACAUAUAGUUAAUGCAUACAUUAUUUUUGCUAAUACAUUCUACCAAACGAUUUAAGUUUUAUGCAACGAUAGGGCAUAAUAUAAACACCAUCAAGUCAUUUAAAAGGUAAUUGUAACUAAUAACACAAAUCGUUUAAUUAAUAAUAUUGAUUUGUUUUGCUUAGAAUAAAUGGGAGUAGGAAUUAUUAGUAACAUGCUAUAUAUAUAUAUAUAUGCUAUUUCUGGUUAAAAGCCAAGAACGUAUAUGUAUAAUUGGUCUGAGAGAUUUUGUCAUCCAUGGUGAAAUAUAUAGAGUACGAAAAAAUUGACUUAAUGUAGAUGAUAAUGUGAAUUUACGAGGAUACAAGAUUAGAUAAGAUUAUUGGUCAGUAUAUCAACCAAAAAAAAAUUAAAAAUAAAAUAAUAUAUAUAUAUAUAUAAACAGCAUACAUUAAGAGUAAAAUAGAAAAAAAUAACUUGAGAUGAUUUAAUCAUAUAGUGUGAACUCAUGCAUGACUAUCACUUGCACCAGUCUUGAAGUCAUGCAUGAUUUAAUUCUGGCCGUUACGUUGCCUAUUACAUCACAAAAAUUAUUUUAUUAUUUUACAUGAGUUUUCAUUUGUUUUACUUAUUUGGUGACUCGAAUUUCUAAUUUUCAGGACAGAAAUAAAGCUAAGUAUGAUCCGAACAAAUCCAUCUUAUUUAAUCUAUGAGAACUCACAUCGUGAACUUCAAAUUAUUUUAUCAGAUGCAUAAUUAUUACUGUUAUUAUGAUAUACAUAACAUUAUAACUUUUUGAUGAAGACGGUUCAACUGAUCAUUAAUGGUAUCUCCAAGCCUCUACCUACUACUUAUGACUUAAUUAUGAGUACUAUUUUUCGUAAGAGCUCCUAUAAAUAGUAGGACUUCUCAAACUCAUAUUACAUCGAUCUAAAUUAAUUUAUCGAUCUUCUUUGAACAUUCCUAUCUAAAAUCAUAUAAAGUAUAGCACCACAACAAAUGGAAACUGCCGCUGCCGCCGCCACCGCGACUACCGUUAAUGGUCCUUAUAACUCCUUCAAAAUCAUGCAUAAACGUAUGUACCUCAACCGUGCAUUUGCUCUUAUUUACAUCUUUGCCAUUUUGGCUCUCUUUUAUCACCAUAUAAUAAAAAUAUUUAAUUAUCAUUCCAUGUUAAUUACCAUAAUUACCCUCUUCAUGUUAAUUUCUGACAUAAUCUUAGCUUUUAUGUGGUUCACUUCUCAGUCUUUCCGCACGCGCCCUAUAGCGAGUGAACAAUUCCCCGAAAUGCUCGAAAAAUUUGAGGAUGAUUUCCCCGUGCUUGAUGUUUUUAUAUGUACGGCGGAUCCGUACAGGGAGCCACCAGGUAAUUUAGCCAACACGAUUCUGUCCGUGUUGGCGUAUGAUUACCCGACAGAGAAGCUCUCGAUUUACGUGUCGGAUGAUGGUGAAUCGGAGCUUACUCUGUUCGCUCUCGCGGAGGCCGCGAGAUUUGGUGUACACUGGUUGCCGUUUUGCAGGGAAAAUGGAGUAGUGGAAAGGUGUCCAGAUGCAUAUUUCAGUUCUGAUAAUUAUGCAGAAAAUUCCCAAUUGCAUAAAAUUAAGGUAUUUUAUAAUUGUUGCGUUUCAAUUUGUUUAUCAUAAUUUGACUUGCGGCAAAGUUCAGAAAAGCAACGAAGACUUUUAAAAUUUGUAACUUUAAAUAUGUUACCCCUAUAACAUUGUUCGAUCAUAAAAAGGCUAAGGCACAAGUACCUCUAGACUAGAUCGAAAUUCCAUAGAUGCACUUUAUGCAAACACAUGCAUGUUUUUGUAAUUUUGAAUAUAUUUUUGGAUUAUGUGGCAUCCAAACAUCUUCCACGCGUCUCAACUGCAUGGAGUCAUGGAGUGUGCCAUGUAAGUCAAAAGGUGUAUAAAAUUAUUUAAAAAAAUGAGUUCGGGAUAAUAGAACCUUAAUUUAAUUAAGAUGUAUUUCUGAAAUUUCGAUUAUAGUCUAGGAGUACUUGUGCCUUAUCUCAUUAUUAAAUAUAUGAAACUUAUGAUCUUAAAAUAUCAUAAGUAAAAUUUAUGAGAAGAUAAAAAAAAACAUAAAUCAAUUAUAUAUCAUUCUUUCUGAAACAAAUUAAUCUAACCGGAGCACGUAAUAUUCCACCUUUCCUUUCCCCUAAUAGUAAAAAAAGUAUAUGUAGAAGUAGUUUGUUUGGUUCAUUCAUUACUUGCCAUACAUAAGCAAUAAUUGAACUUUAAAUAAUAUCUUUUUUUUAAUAUUGAUAUGAUAGUAUAUAAUAUAUUUUUUACAUUAUUAAUAUAUAUUAAUUGAACUUAAAAUAAUAUAUAUGAGCAAUAAUUAUUUUUGUAUAUAUCCAUGUGACCAUGCAGUUGAUGUAUGAAAUCAUGAUUACUAGAAUAAAUAAUGUGGUGGAGAGAGGAAAAGUAAACGAAGAGCAUAUUAGCAAUGAGGAUGAGCAAGAAGCUUAUAGCAAAUAUUCAUCUGAUGGAUUUACUCCCCAUCAUCAUCCCUCUAUUAUUCAGGUUUGUGUAUUUUUUAAUCGAGAGUUUAUUGAAAAUAAUUUUCUAUUUAUGUAUAAGAUAGCUAGGAAUAAGAUCGAUCUGUGUAUAUCUUAUUUUUUUCGGACCUCACUUUAUAAAAUCAUAAAUAAUAUGUUGUUGUUGUCGUUGAGGACAAAACUAAAGUUUUAAUAAUGGGUUCGACAAAGUUUAAUAUUUUUGGCCAAAAUUCUAUAAGUGAGUUAUCAAUUGCUUAAUAUACAUAUGUAUACAUAACUUAUGCAUAACAAUAAGUUAUAAUUUUUAGAAUUUAGAACUCAUAAAUUAAUCAAACUUUUGAAUUCAUAUUUGAUUUGUGGUAGCUAUAUAUAGUAGAUGAAGUCACUAUUUUAUAAUGAGUUUAGGUUUUAUACACUCACAUAUAAGAAGAUCUAAUUUGUACAAUGUAUUAAACUUAUAAGCAUUGGCAUGUAAAAAGUGUCUAUGUAUUUUGGUCAAUUUCAAGCUACAACGCUGAACUCGUGAUUUGUAAUUUACGGUUUCUGAAUUAUACUUUCUUUUGGUUUACUUGAUUCUAGAUAGAUUAUAAUCUAUACGUAUGAUAUGAAUUUUAGUUAAAAACAUAAAGUUUGAAUAAAAAAUAUUAAAUUUUGUUGAACUCGUAUAACUUUAAGGUUGGCUCCAAUCCUAUUUGGUUGUUUAUGAGUCCUAGUGGCGGCUCAACCUAAUCAGUGAUUUAAAGCUAAAAAAAAAUCGGAGGUCUAAUUUUUAAUUUUUAAUUUUAUUUCUGAGAUUCAAUUUUUUUUCUUUCUUUUUAAUAAAAAAAAUAUUAUUUUUUCUAUGUUCUUAAACUAAAGAUUUAUAUAUAUAUAUAUACCAAAAUAUUUUUUAAUCUUAUGGUCUUAAACAUAUCAUAUGGAAGUUAAAUUAAAAAAUUGACCCAAAAAAAGAAACAUUCUAUAAUGUUUCAAAAAAAACUAAAAAGACAAAUAAAUUUUAAAAUAUAGUAUUUUUUUUGGUUAAAAAGGCUUAUAAUAAUUUUAGUAAAAAUUAUACGAGUCUCAUAGUGUAAGGAGCAAAUUACAUCAUAUCCCUACUCCUUUCCAAUUUACAAAAAUUUCCUAAAAUUGUUGUCAUCCGGAUACAUCACGUUUGAUACAUUAUACAACUAGUUUAUUGGGAUUAAAAAGGAAAUUAAAUAUAAAAUUAAAUGUCAUUUUUCCAAAUCAUGCAAAUCAAAUUGAUGUCAAUCUCUCCCAAAUAACAACUCCAAACAAUUCAAAUUUCAAUUUUUCUUCUCUAAAAUCUCUCCCAAAUCGUAACAGAUUAAAAAAAAAAGACGACAAUUAUAUAUAGUUAUGUAUCAUAUAUAAAAAAACUAUGAAUAUGAUAUACACUGAUUUAGUUUUAAAACAGUGUUGCACAUACAUCACAACAUCUAAUACAUAACUAUGCUAUAUACAUAACAAAAUUAUGUGGCUUAUACAUAACUAUGAAUAUGAUACAAACUGAUUUUGUUAUAAAAUAUUAGUGUUUAUGUAUCAACAAUAAUAUACGAUAGUGUCUACAUAUACAUAGCAUUCUAGUUGAAUAAGACUGGGUGUAUGUAUCUGGUAGUAAAAGACAACGAAUUUUGUAAUAGUUGUGUAUCCAAUACAUAACUAUGAACGUGAUACAUGCUAAUGUGUGUUUCAAUAAAUUAGGGUUAUGUAUAAAAACUAAAAUUUGAAAACGUACGAUAUAUUGUACAUGAUAAAAUUGGAAUGUAUCAUAAAGUUGAAACGAAUGAAUUAUACAUUUAAAAUCAACUAAAUACAUUAAAAGAUCUGCUGAAAGCAAUAAAAAAAUCAAUAAUUUGAUCUGCUAAAGGCAGAAAAAAAAGAUGAUGAAGAAAUCGUUACACACUUUCUCCUUUGCUCUUAUCAACUCUUGUAGUUUUUUUUUCACUUUCAACAUGUCACCCAUGGAUCUCGACCCAAAGUCAUUACCGAAAUCAACCAAUAACUUUUGAUAAAAUUGUAAUGUAUCAUAACGUUGACACGAAGACAUUAUACAUUAAUUUAAGAUACAAAAACAACUAGAUACAUUAAAAAUUGAACCCAUAUGUACCAGAAAAAGGUAAUCAAUAAAAAAUAAAAAAAAGUCAACAAUUUGAUCUACUAAAAGCAAAAAAAAUAAUGAAGAAAUGUUUCUACAACUUCUAUUUUGCUCUGUAUCAACUCCCAUAAUUUAUUUAUUUUCACUUUCAACAGUGGCGUCACCCAUGAAUCUCGAUUCAAAGCCCUUAUCGGAGCCCCAACAACUCGACCUCCCCCCCCCUCCCUUUUUGGCAUUUUUUUCGACAAUCGAUUUUGAAGUUGAAGAUGCAUCCUUCUUCGACUAAAUUCAAAUUUUGUAGAUGAAAAGGCUAAAAAAAAUUGAUGCAUGGAGAAGUGGAAAGAAAAAUAUGGAUGAAGAAGAACUACCUCUUCAAUAACUUGCAGCGAUAAAUCGAAAAGAGAAAAAAAUUGAAAUUAAAAAAUAGAGUGAUAAAGAUAAUUGGUGAUACCAUGAAGUGAUUUUAGGCGUGAAAAAAAAGAAGAAAAAAAUAGGGUGAUGUGUAGUUUUGUAAUUUUUUGAAAUGAUAGAGAAUAAUAAAAAAUAGGGUACAAAGGAUGUGUAGUUAGAUAAUUUAUUCAUAAUUUUAUUAUUACAAAAAAAUUGGGCCCUUCGAAUUUGAAGGCUUAAAACGUAUACCUCCUUUUAAAAGGCAUAGAGUCGCCACUGAUGAGGUCAGGUAUAUUACACAUAUAUAAUAUAACUUGGUAGUGAAUAGUGAUUGUAUAUAAUCCUUUCGUAAUAUAACUCACUCUCCUUUUUACCCAAAAUUCUUCAAGCAGGUUUUAUUGGCAAACAACAAAGACAAAGACAUUACAAAUGUUUUUAUGCCAAAUCUUGUCUAUAUUUCCAGGCAGAAAAGCAAAACUUCCCCUCACCAUUUCAAAGCAGGGGCACUUAAUGUUCUGGUAAGCCAGUAUCUUAAAAUUUGAGGUGGGCCCGAUUUUCAGUCUCUGUAAUUGAAAAAUAGUCGUAGUCCUAAAGUUUUGAAUUCCACAAAAUGAAACUCAAAGAUAAUGUCACGUAGUUUCACUUGUGUAAUUUGAAAUUUCAUAACACUGACUAUUUUUCAAGAAUAUGAACUGAAAAAUGAUCGGUGGACGCUAUUUAAUUUCUACUAAUAUUUGACAUUUGUUGCCUUUAACAUACACAUACAAUUGUGAGGUGCUAGAAUUUUCUCAUUUAAAGAUAAACUAAGAAGUUUAAAGUUAAAUUAUUUUAAGAUAUAGUUAUUCCAAUUUGAUGAUUAAUAAGGAAAUAAUGUCGCACAAACUGAUACGAUGAGACUAUUUUUUUUUCUUUUUUUCCCCUUGUUAAAUGAAUUUAUGCUCAAUAUGAAUACUUAUUGAAAAUUGAUUUAAAUUAUUUUUUGUUAUUAUUUUAAUUUUUGAAGCUUCGAGUAUCGGGUAUCAUGACAAAUGGGCCUAUAAUCUUGACAUUGGACUGUGACAUGUACUCCAAUGAUCCAUCAACUCCUAAACGGGCUUUAUAUUACUUCUUGGACCAAUCUAUCUGGCCCAAUUUAGCAUUUGUUCAAUCACCGCAGCGAUUUCAUGGUCUUAAUUGGGCCGAUAUCUAUGCAAGUGAGUUUAAAGCUCUGGCCCAUGCGAAUCCAAUGGGCAUGGAUGGGCUUUGUGGCCCAAAUUAUAUGGGUACCGGGUGCUUUUUCAAACGCCGGGCUUUCUUUGGUGGGCCGUCAUCGUUCGAGCAACAAGAAAUGAUUCAAGAUCAUGUUGUGAACAAGCCCAUUGAGGCCCAAACUAUUCUAGAGCAAGCUCACCAAAUGGCAAGUGUCAACUAUGAGAACCAAACUAAUUGGGGUUCUCAAGGUAUGUUGUACAAGUCUUAGUUCUUUUUCUCUUUCAUCAUAAGGUGAGUUUAGAAUUUGAACUAUAUAAGUUCGAGUUCAGAAUUCUACUACAACUCAUGAUUUAUUAGAUUCAAAAUUUAGUUAUUUGUAUUGGUUGUAUACAGGAUCUGAAUAAAAAAUAUGAGUUUGAAUGAAUCCAUACCUUAUCCUCUACGCCGCCCCUAGUUGAAAAAGGUGUCGCUAAGUGGUUAGGGGGUAAAUUUUAGAAAUAGCCACCUACAUACUCAAUUAUUGAAAUAUAGCCAUUGUCCUAGAGUUUUGACAUUGCACAAGUGAAACUCUGGACAAUUAUUGUUUUUAAAAAAAUCGGGAUUCUACAUAUUGGUAGCUUUGAGUUAAAUUCAAACGUUUGAGGUGAUAAUAUUUACAGAAUGUUGAAUAUCUUCACUCUCAAUAGUUACAUACAAGUCUAUAAAAUAUAGAAAGGCAAAAUGCCUAUGACGUGUAUGUGUUGGAUGAACCAAAUCCAGUCGAAAAAGUGGUCAUUGAACACUAUUUACAAUGGCUAGGAGGAGGCCAAUAGUCAAAUAUGACCUAACCUCAUAGUAUCGUAGUUUGAAUUAUGACCUCUUGACUAUUCCACGAUCACAACGAAACAAGUCUUUACACUUCUUAGCAUAGCAAAAAACACAAAAAAAAUUGUUGUGGACAAUACUAACAACCAAAAGAUAUGCAGAUGGGCUUUAGAUAUGGAUCAUUGGUGGAGGACAUUUACACUGGUUAUCAACUUCAUUGUGAAGGUUGGAAAUCAAUAUUUUGCAACCCUAAAAGGCCAGCAUUUUUAGGACAUGUACCUCUAUCACUCAAUGAGGUGCUAAUUCAAAUGAAGAGAUGGGCUGUGGGCCUCCUUGAAGUGGCUUUAUAAAAAAACAGCCCAAUUACAUUUGGUAUGGGGCAUUUGGGCCCAAUAAUGGCCCAAUGUUACAUUCACUAUACAUUUUGGCCCAUUCACUCCAUACCCAUUACUAUCUAUGCUUUGCUUCCUCAACUCACUCUUCUAAGUGGAGUUCCCAUUUUCCCAAAGGUAUCUCUUGAUAUGUCUACUCUGUUUUUUUUUUGGAGAUAUCAUUUUUGGUAUAAAUUUGAUAUUUGACUAGAUAAAUUUAACUUUUAAUAAAUUAAAAUGUGUGUUUUAGUCUCAUUAGUAUGUUGCAUUUAGACUCUUUUUAGAACUAUAUUACCAUCAAACGUGAAAUAAUAAUACAGGUGGCUUAACAUAAUGUACGAGUAAUUGCAUAUUGAAACGGAUAAUAAUUAUGAUAAAUUUGUGAACAAAAGUGUACAUUUCAAUUAAUUGAAGGUUAAAUGUGUUUAAUCAGAUAUCAGAAGGAAUAAAAUAAGAAUUUACCAAUCACUCAAGGACCAAAAGUGCUAUUAAUGCUUCUUCUUUUUAUACUAAUCAUGAUAUUAGAUCUUCAUAAGAACUAUUAUAAGUGUUGUAAAAUAUGAUUUCAUUAGCUCACAUUUUUGUAUAAUAUUGUUUUCAGAUCUCUAGUCCAUGGUCUUUGUUGCAUAUUUUUCUAUUUCUUGGAGCAUACAUGCAAGAUUAUUGCUUAAAUUUUGCAUCAACGUCACAAGGAUCGUUACGAAGGUGGUGGAGUGACCAAAGAAUGUGGAUUAUAAGGGGGUUAUCAUCCUUUCCUGUUGGAAUUAUCGAGUACUUAAUGAAACGUAUGGGUAUAGUCACUCAGAAAUUCAACGUAACAAGCAAAGUAGUCGAUCAUGAUCAAGUUACAAGAUACAAUCGAGGAAUUAUCGAGUUUGGAGUUGCUUCCCCUAUGUUUGUGCCUUUAGUAACAACAUCAAUGGUCAAUUUAAUGGCAUUAGUCAAAGCAUUGGUGAGUUAUUACAAAGGGGAAAACUUUGAUGGAUUAUUUCUCAACACUCUUAUUGCUUGUUUUGGAGUAGUAAAUUGUUUGCCAAUAUAUGAAGCUAUGGUUUUAAGAGUUGAUAAAGGAAGAAUGCCCACCAAAAUUACUAUCAUCUCUACAUUUUUAGCUUUGUGUCUUUACAUAAUUUGUUUAUUUCUUGUGGGACAUAUGUAACAUUAUAUUAUGCUCAAGUCUUUUUACUAUAGUUUUUUUUACCUAUGUUUAGUGUUUGUAACAUCAAUAAAAUGGACUAGUUUUUACCAAAUAAAUUCAAUGUUACAUGGUCUAAUUCUAAUAAUAGGAAUUAGCGAUGGAUAACUUUUGUCUCUAAACAACAAUGAACUAGCUAGUUAGCGAAGAUUUUUUUUAGCUAACGUCUAUCUCAAGGAGCGUGCAAUAACACAAUCAAUAGGUGAACCUUUCCUCGCACUUUAAAGAGAAGGGUAUUGAUAAUAUAUAUUUAAUUUCAUUGUUAAAUAUUUACUCUCUAUCUGACUUGAAAAGAUGGUUCGUAAGCUCUCCCUCUUGAAAACUAGCUAAUCAAAGGGGGGGGGGGGACAUUUUUUCCAUUUUACUUUUUUGAAAGCUACUUCCAUAUCCCCCAAAAUUUAAAACUAUCCAUGUAAGGGUAUAUUAUAUAGUUCCAUAUUUGCACAUCCCCUAUUAUUAAUGCUUUUCUAUUAAUGGUUUUUUUAAUUAAUAUAGAUAAUGCUAGCAUAUCUCAAUACUUUAAUGUUUCACUAGAUUGAGAAAAUUUAUCUACCUUAGCUAGUUCUCACUCCACAUGAACCUAUACUACAAUUUUUUUAGUGGAAACUAAAGAUCACCAAUUAUAUAUACACAUUUGGUUGACUAUUGAAAUAUAUUGCUAAAAAAAAUAUAUUGCUAAAAAGAUUAUUAUAAUUUAUACUGUUCGUUUCAAUUUAUGUGUCACCGUUUGACCAGGUAGAAAAUUUAAGAAAGAAAGAAAAAUAGACUUUAUUUUUUAUUUUUGUGGUUUAAAAAAAGGACAAAUUACUUAACUACACUCCUUUACUUACCUUAAUAUCCAUUUAUCCCUACUUAUUUCAAAAUUUCAAAAUCCCUUAUUUACUUAUGUCUCCCGCUAUGUGGAAUGUAUCAAACGCUAUGUAUCCCGUGCACAAUGCUAUGUAUCCCGCAUGUAUCCCGUGCACAACGCUAUGUAUCCCGCUAUGUGGAAUGUAUCAAACCUAAUGUAUCCCGUGCACAACGCUAUGUAUCCCGCAACCAUCAUUUUUAAGGGAUUUUUGGUAAAUAGAAAACUAGAAGGGAUAGGAUGUUAUUUAGUACUUAUAAUAUGUGGUUCCUAUAAUUUAUACUUAAAAAAAACCUUAAUUAGAUAUUUGUUUUGACCGUAAAUUAUUUCAUUAAGGGUUAAAGAAUUUUUUUAAAAUUAAGUUAUUUCUAAUUAGAGAAAAAUAACAUUCAUUCCGAAGUAGUCUAAGAAAGAAAAACAUGUCAUAUAAAUUUGAACGAGUAAGUAUUAUUUUUCUUUAUAGUGUUCUACUGAUGUGGUAUACCACUAAUUAACCCUUAGAUUAUCCAUAAUCAACUACCAACUGGUUUAAUUUUUACAUGUAUUUUAUUAUAUGUAAUUGAUGGAUCUUGUUUUUAAAGUUGAAGAUCACACGAUGAUCUCAUCAAUAGCUUACGUAGCCAAAAGAUAUAUAUAUAUAUAUAUAUAUAUAUAUAUAUGCAGUAAUUUUAAUUACACUAAACAUUGAAAACCCAACUACAUCAUAAUCUUAAUUAAGAGACAUUGAGAUCAUCUUUUGAAAUUUUAUUUUGAUAUUCAAAGUGGUGAUGUAUAUAAUUAAAGAAGAUAUCUAUUUAAAGUAGUUAAUUUAUUUAUGUAAUAUGCAUUUGAGAAUACGUCAAUUUUAUUUUUUUUUAAAAAUGAAUAGAAAAUGUUCAAUAGAAAACACUUUAUUGUAUAAUCCGUAUACAAAUAAUUAAUUGAAACAAAUUAUAAUUCGAGUGUUUAAGUGAAAUUUAAUAUUUUCAAGUUCAAGGAACUGUAUAUAUGUAUUAAGCCAACAUAAAAUGAUCCAUAUUUAUACAUCAAAUAUUCUUAGCAAGUAUUGUGCCUUUUUUUUUUUUUUGAAAAAAAUGCUGUGCAAUUUUUUAUACUUCAAUUAAUAAUAAUUUGCUUUCUUCAUAGGGAAGUUAGGAUAUUUUUUCUUUAAUUUCUCAAAGUUGAUGGUUGCCAAUUUGAUCACCAUCACUUAUUCUUUUGUGGUAACAUAUUCCUAAUCUCCUUAAGGUGGACCAAGCUAUUUUUUUACAUUAAAAAAUGUCCUUAAAUGUGAUGGCCAUAUGUGUAAAUAUUUAUGCUAAAAUCAUCCAAGAACAUGUUUGAUUUUAUUACAAAAAUUGGAGUCAAAUAUUUUAAAAUAUUCUUGAAUAUAAGAAUAUGAUUUACUUUUUUUGGUGGUUUCUAAAUUUUUAUUCUUAGAAAUUAUAGAUGUGAGAAGUCAACUCUCGGAGGAUCAGUUGAUGUUAAAUAAUUAUUUUAUCGUAUGUUUACGUUGAUUCAAUAAAUUUAAUUUUAAUUAACCAAAAUUUAAAUAAGAAUAUGUCUUAUAUUUAUUGGCGGAAUAUAAAUAUUUGAUGCGAGUAAAUUUUAUCGAGUUAAAUUUUAAGACAUAUAUAUUUAGUGGUCCCUUGUGUUUUAGACAAUAUCACCUUUGAGAAAAGAAAUAGAAAAGGACAACAUAUGCAUUCAGUAAAUGCUUUUUAUUUUUUUCUAAAAUACAUAAAACUUCUUGGAUAUUAAGGAUGUAUUAUACUUUCUUUUUUCUUUGUAAUAAUCUUUUUUUAAAAGAAAAAUAAAAAAAUUCAAAAGAAUAUGCUUCUUUAUUCAUUCACUAACAAAUAGAAUAAAGAUACGUAAAUGUGUCUUUUAAGUUGAUCUCAACUGACAUCUAUGCCAUUUACUUUAGAUGUGCAUAAGUAGAUAUUUAUGUAUUAUGCCCAAAUAAAAAAGUCACAAAUUUUAUGUACACACGUAUAACCUAUAGGAAAUUGUUCAUUUUAAGAGAUCUCAUGUAUUGGUCUUUGAAAAAAGAUGAAUAGACAUCGAGCAGAGUUAGAAAUCGACAUAUGAAUUCAACCAAAUUCAGUAGUCUUAUUAGUUUAAAAUGUAAAUUUUAUAUUAAUUAUAAAAGAACAUUCAAUGUGUACACAAGUUAAAUUCAGAAUAUUAUAAUCUACAUUUUUAAGUACACAUAAUAAUUAUCUAAUGGUUAGGAAGAUAAUGGUGGCAAUGAUAGAUGAUUAAGACAAAGGCUAAUUAGUUGGAAAGGACUAAGCAACUAAAUGCCAAACAAAAAGGGAGCAUAUUUUAUAAUAAUAUGGAACCAAUUGUGCCAGAUUUUAUGGGUGAUCAAACUCUAAAAUAUAAUGUUAGUUCUAUAUGAAAAUAGUUAAGAGCCUGCUUAACAUUAUUGUUGGAAGCUCAAAAAUAUUUAUUUUUUUAAAAAUUAGAUAUUUGGCAAAUCUGUAAAACUGCUUUUAAAUGGAAGCAGAAGCAAUUUUUCUGCUGUUGGGAAGAAGCUAAAAAUUUCCGCUUCUUAAAAAAUGCAGAAACAGAAGCAAAAAAUUAUUUUUUUCAAGUCUAAAAUAUCCCUUUCAUAUAUAUAUAUAUAUAUAUAUAUAUAUAUAUNNNNNNNNNNNNNNNNNNNNNNNNNNNNNNNNNNNNNNNNNNNNNNNNNUAUAUUAUUAUUAUUAUUAUUAUUAUUAUUAUUAUUAAACAUAUUUCAUAUGCUUGGUUAAGUUCCAUUUAAUAAUUGAAAAAAAAAGGUAACAACAAUUUUUUUUUGCAAGAUUAGAAAAAAGAAAAAAGUAACAAUUAAAGAUUUCAACUCUUCAAAAAAAUGUAUUAUAUUGAUUGAAAAUUUAAAUAUGAACAUUUUUAUUUAAUAAAAAUAAAAAUUUAAUUUAAUUUUUGUAAUAGGUGUUUAAACUAGUUUCUCUCUAUAAAAUAAUCUUAAUAUUAAAACAGUAUUAAUACUUGUCUUUUAUCGUAAUUUGACUCUCAAAAACACUUUAAAAAAAAGAUUAGUCAAACACAAUUGUUUUUUUUUUUCAAAAGCACUUUCCUAAAAAGCUAUUUUAAAAAAAGUGCUUAUGAAAAUAAGCAGUUUUUAGCAGCAAUGUCAAACAGGCUAUAUAUAUAUAGUAACAUUACGAAUAUUUUUCACACUAUCAAUAUAGAUUAACAUUUUUAUCAAGUUGUAUGUCAGUUAAUGUUUAUCAUAGAAAUUUACAUAACACACAUAUUUAUAAAUUUAUUAAAUACUUUAUUAAAUAUUUGAAUAUAAAUUCAGAUAUGAUUGUAGUAUUAACUUGAGGUUGUUAUAACAAUUUUUAAAUUAUAAAUUUUAGAUCCCCUGGGCUAAUAAGUGGUCUAAUUAUAGAUUAUUUUUUUUUACAGAAUUAAUGCAUAGACUAGUGAUAUGAUUAGGACAGUAAUUAUAGAGCUAGUGACACUAGAAUUCCAAAACCUUAUUUGCAGUCAAGAAUAAUGCUUUAAGUUUUUUAUUUUAUUUUAAUGAUUCUAAGUUAAAAGUAAAUGAGUAAAUGCGUUUUUUUCUUCAAACAUUUUGGAAUAUAAAUUUAAAUGACGCAAAAGCUCGUUAUUAUUUCAUUUCUCGUGGGUCCUUUUAGGUGUAUGAAAGUUACAUAUAAAAAAUAAAUUAAGAAAUAAAAUAAAAUAAUAAUAAUAAUAAUAUGUAACUUUCAUAGACCAAAAUGGAGGUGGAGAAAACACUUUUUUUUUCAUGGAUUAAGACAAUUUAGAGAUUUGAGCUUCAAAUUCCAAUAGUUAGUAAUGGAGACGAAUUUAGAAUAUGAAUUUUGUGCAUUUGAAUUUGAAUUCUCCAAAUUAGUUAUGUGUUCUGUUGGAUUUGAAAUUUGUUAUUUAUAUUUAUUUAGUGAAGUUUCUACAUUAUUAUUAUUAUAUAUAUAAAUUCUUAAGUUAUUUUCAAGAGCUGUUUUCAAUUAAUACUCCAUAUUAUCAGUCUCAUAAGAAAUAUUUUACACCUUUUAAUAAAUUUUUUUUAAAAAAAUUAUUCUUAUACUUUCUUAACAUCUCUCGUAACUAACAUUUUUUUAAUUGAGCAACUUGAAGCACGCUAACUUGACAAGCUUACCAUUUUAGACCAUAGGUUUAAUCUUUGAAAAUGAAGUCAUAUUUAAUAGAAAGUGUGAUAUCUUCUGAAAUAAAAUAUUUCGAUUGAAUUCAAAUUAAUCAAACAAAAACUUUUAAUAUUCAUAUUUUUAACAAUAGUUUUAUUGGGUGGACAACUUAUAAAUGUUGAGUUUUUCAUCAUCAAUAUGGACCCCUUAUACAACAAUUUUAAUGGGGUCCUCAAAUUCUAGUCUACUCCAAAUUGGAUUUUUCAAUAUUUGCUCCAAAUGAUUGAGAUUAAUUAUAUAUUUAUUUUAACCAUCAUAUCAUAUAUAUAAAAUCAUGUUAAAUCAAUUUUUGUUCUCUUACUAAGUAGAUGGUAAUAAAUUUGUGUUUUCUCUUCCCAUGAGAAUGGAACUAGUGCUAUAAUUAUCGAAAGUCUUUCUUUUAUUAAUAAAGUUCCUUUUAAUUACCUAUUUUACACACUCAUUCAAUAUUCAUGAAAAACAAUUAAAUCGAAGAUUUCUAAAUACUUGUAUUUAUUAUUCAAUAAAUGACUAAUUAAGAAUUCACUGAUCUUAGUCUAAUUCAAUUAGAAUUUUGGAUACUUUAUAGUUGUGUGUAUAUAUAUAUAAGACUGAUCAAAUGGAGUUAAUUGAAGUGUUAUAUUAUUAACAAAAGAUUAGCUAACUAAUCACCAUCCACAGUAAUGAAGCAUUCAAGAGUAGUAAAGUAGGUUUACUUUUUAUUAUUUAAUAAUGACUUUACAUAAUUUUCCUUUAUAUAUAAUAAAAAAUAUGAAUAAGGAAUACUAACAGACUCCAUUUUCUUAUUUUGAUUUCUCGCCACUUGUUUUUUUUUAAAGCCAAUAAAAUUUAAUAUUUAGAAAAACAACUAAAUCAUCAAGUCCCAAAAAGAACUAAAUUAUUUAAAACAAACAACUUUUUAUCUACUUAUUAUUUCUUUAUGACCGCGAUAAAAUCUGCAUACAUUCUAUCCGCAUAAAAUAGCUUGCAAACCACACAUGACUGACAUGAGAAUGUAAAUCGUACUAGACAAGCCCUAUGUGAUAGGCAUAUGCUAGACUCAGAAGUCAUUGAGGGAGAAUCAAUCCCGAGUCAUCCAUGUGAAUGACCAUCCUCUAAACCAAUUGAGUCAUCCAAAGGACACUUUUGAGAUUUUAAUCAUGGUAUAUUGUCUCUCUUUUUUCAUCCUAUCUUUGAUAUUAUUUGGGGUUUAUAGUAAUUUGAAUUUGAGCUGAAUAAGACUUAUUAAGGAAAGUGUUUCUAUUCAUGAUAAUUAUCAUUUUAAGAUUUGAAAUUUUAGAUCUUUAAUUAAGAAUGUAAUUUGAUUGUAAAUACUUAUUUAUCCUUAAUUAAAAAAAUUAUGUUCAAGUCUUAUUGUGUACAUAAUCCUCUUUUUUAGAAUAUAUUUUACAAUAUGGAAUUUCUCAGAGCUAGUCGAAUGAUUAAAAAGUUAAAAACUAGAUAAAAUUAAAGAGGGAAAAUAAUACAAUGUUUCCUCAAGUCAUCAAUUUAUUAUAAAUGAGGAUGUCUUUUUCGACCAGCUACAAAUUAAUUUUAAAAUUAAGAAAAAUAAAUAAAAGAAAGAAUAUGAUUAUUUUAAAAUUUCUAUGAACGAUUACGUCACUAUUGAAAAUCACUUUUUUGCUUAAAAAAUUCUUUUGGUUCCCUUUAAUGGGUCUCCUAAAGCAAUUUCUUUAUCUGUCCACCUUCCUGUAAUUUGCACGAAAUUUUAAAUUAAAAAACAGAAAUAAGAGCUUAUACAUCAGAAAUUUCCCUUUCAAAUAACUUAUUCCGAAAUUAAUUAUUUCGGAAUAAAUUAUCCCAUCAUAUAAAUGAAUAGCUUAUCUCAUCAUUUAGUUAUAAAUGGUGUGAUAAAUAAUCUCAACACAGGAUAAAAUAAUCCUUCAUCUAGCCACGCAACUGGGCGAGUUCAAUCCCAUGAAAAUGGAGAUAAAUAAAUAAAUUAUACAAUGCGAAAUCAAAUUACAUGCAUAUCAGAUUUCGAGUGAAAAAGUAAAAAGAAUAUAUGAAUCUUGAUAAGUUGCUUCUAUCAUAAAGGUAAAUGAUAAACAAGUAACUUUUUCGAAUAUAUUUUGAUAACGUGAACUUUAAAUUCUGAAUUCGUAUCUGAUUUUGAUACGAUAUAGUAGAUAGUGAUUUGAUACAUAGAAUAAUCCCUUAUACUUUUUGCAAGUUGCAAUUUAUUAGAUUCCAAGUUUAUUUUUUUUCUUAUUAUAGAAUCAGACUCAGCCAAUUGCCAUUAAACAUAUUUUCCCUUUCUUCUCCACUCGCCACAUACAAAAUCUCUGUGAAAAAAGCAAAAAUUCUGGAGAAAAAAUUGAACAAAAAUGUCGGAACCGGAAGGAGGAAUGACUCAAAAUCACCUUCCGAAGUCAAAGGAGUUGACUCCUCUGCCGCAUACGGCGUCGACGGCGCCGGUGACGGAGAGAGAGUCGAUGAUGAUGGAUCUCGAUUUCGAUAUUGACGCUUCCUGGUCUUUUGAUCAGAUUUUUGCUGCUGCUGCGGCGGUUUCAUCGAAUCCUGCGUCUCCGUUCCUGCCUUGUUCUCCUCUUUGGGCGUUUUCCGAUGAUAACGAUGAAAAACCUGCCGGAAAUGGACUUUCCGGUGCUCUACGUAUCUCCGGCCACCCUAGAUUUGUCGCUUGUAUGUAAGCCUUUGGUUUGGUUUAAGCUGUUUUGGUUUAGAGAAAUCAUUUGAGAAACUUUGGAGUAAAGUUAGUUGACUUUUUGUUCUUGCUGCAAAUUUAGGUGACCUUUUUAGGCUUUUUCAAAUUUAGGUAGCAUUUGAUUUAGUUUUUACAAAAAAAAGACUUAAAUUUGCUAAUUUUGAUUAGAAAAAACAGUAUCAAACAAACACUUCUGCAAGCAAAAGCUUUUUAAAAGUAUGCAAACUUUAGCUUUUGCAGAAACAGAAACAAUGGAAAGCUGAAAGAUUGCCGAAUUGGGAAAUCUUAGUAGCUCAGUUAAUUGGUUGGUUAAUUGAACUUUCACCUUGUUGGUGGGUUCGAUUCUCCACCUUGUAAUCUCCUCCACCAUUUCCCUUUCCGCUACCACCAUUUUUUUUUAAUUCUUCUCAGAAAAGAAAGAUUGCAGAAUUGGAUACCAUAUUUGCACAAUCUGAAUUGAAUCUAUUGAAAUUCAGUUUAGAGAAUAUUAUUUUGAAGACAUUACUUAUUCCCACCCUUUUAUUCACAUCAUGUUUACCGAAUUUGAUUCUAGGGAGAGCAAUAAUUACAUAGUGAGAUUAGUUAGAUUUGUUUUCUUCAUUUUCUUUCCAUUUUUGUUUCCUUGAUUAGGGAUCAUGUGGUUUUGUUCUUUCAUAAUUUAUGAACAUAGAUGCUACUAUAUUACUUAAGAUUAUAAAAAUAUGUAAAUAGGUAUGAAAAUAAUUUUAUUUUCGUAGAUUUUAAUGUAACAUCAUAUGCAAAUCAUAUCUUAAUAUUAGGGACAUUGGUUGAGUGAUAAUUAAAAGAAAGACACAUUUAUUUAUUGGUUUAGUGUAAACAACCUGUGAAUAUAUAUUAGAGCAGGAAAGUUUCUGCGGAGUUGUGCCCAUCUCUGUUUAGCAAUCAUAUAGUAGAUAAAGAACAUGCUGGACAUCAGAGUGUUAAUACAAUGUAAAAAGUACUUCUUGUAAUGAAUACUCUUGCUUACUGAUGAACAAAAUAUGUAGAAAUAUUUCUCGUCUCUGUAGAUAAGAAUAGAAUGUGAACUGAGUCUGCUUUUUCUUGAUGAAUUAGUAUUAUAAGCAUAUAGAAUCUUCACAUAGUACUUAUCAAAAAAAAAGAGAAAAAGAUGACUUCGCAUAGUAAAACAUUAAAGCUAUGCUGUCACUCUUGUGCAAUUGUUUUCCCAAUAGCUUAGAUUGUGGGAUAUACAAGAGUUGAACUUUUUUCCAUCUUGAACUUUAUAAUGAACUAGUUGUAGUCUUUCUAUAAUUAGAUUCUCCAUGAGUAGCUUUGCCUUGUGAUGUAUGAACUUUCUGUUAGUUUGUCCCUGUGAAAAUGGGAUAAAUGAGUUGAAUGUGCAUCAUUGGCUGGGAACACACAAUGAGAGAGUAAUCUAUUUGCCUUCCAUUUUUGGAGCAGACACUGGUGAUAUAGAAGGUACAACUGAAACUGUCUCUGUCAACGCUGAUAAGGGACGACUUCCUUCACCAAUUUCAGGACUAAUACCUGGAGAUAAUCCAGAUGGGUCUUGUAUAAUCAAGGAGAGGAUGACACAAGCGCUCCGAUACUUAAAGGAAUCCACAGGAGAGCGAGUCUUAGCUCAGGUCUGGGCACCUGUAAAGGAAGCUGGUCGGUCUGUACUCACAACUUCAGGGCAGCCCUUUGUUCUUGACCCAGAGUGUAAUGGGCUUCAUCAAUAUCGAACGGUUUCUCUGAUGUAUAUGUUUGCUGCGGAUGGAGAGACUGAUGGAGUUCUUGGACUUCCGGGCCGUGUCUUCCGCCUUAAGUUGCCUGAAUGGACACCAAAUGUGCAAUACUACUCCAGUAAAGAGUUCCCUCGGCUUGAUCAUGCUCUGCAUUACAAUGUUCGAGGAACUUUAGCGCUGCCUGUAUUUGAACCUUCUGGACGAUCUUGUGUUGGUGUACUGGAACUCAUAAUGACCUCCCAGAAGAUCAACUAUGCUGCUGAGGUGGAUAAAGUAUGCAAAGCACUGGAGGUUGGUUCUUUUAACCCUUGUGUAAAAUUUUUAAUUCACAUAUCUCAUGUUAGAUGUCCUAUCUUUCGAUGAUAUUGGAUCUUGUGUUUCUGCAUUAACUGUAUGAGAAAGUGUUAGAACCAGCCAUUUAUAGCAUCUAUUGUACCAUGAGAGGCUGAGAUUUUGUUUGUUGGAAACUUGUUCACAAUUCAAUCGUGCACUCAAUAGGAAUUAUUUGAUAGGGUUGUUGGCUUUCAAAGGUGCAUUUGGACAUGUAUUGUGCAGUCUUCACAUGGCAUGACAUCUAUCUGCAAGAGUAAAACCAAUUUUUGUGGUUACUUAUGUAGGGUAUUAAAUUUUUUUGAGUAGAUAAGCACGUCUUUCAUCUAAACCAAAUGUGUUCAUCAUCUUUUCUUGCCUUUACUUUUUUCGAGAUGAGCUCUCUUGGGCUAAUCUAAUUCUACUUUCUGCAGGCUGUAAAUUUGAAAAGUUCAGAUAUAUUGGACCACCCAAACACUCAGGUGAGGAACAGUUGUGUAUAAUUUUCUCAGUUAAGUGGUUGUUUAAUCAUUUUUCUGAACAGGUCUAUGUGAUGGGGUAUAUGAACCAGAUCUGCAAUGAAGGCCGGCAGAAUGCAUUGGUUGACAUCUUGGAGAUACUAACUGCAGUAUGUGAAACAUACAAACUGCCUCUGGCUCAGACAUGGGUUCCAUGCAGGCAUCGCAGUGUUCUGGCUGAUGGUGGUGGGUUGAAAAAGAGCUGCAGUAGUUUCGAUGGGAGCUGCAUGGGACAGAUCUGUAUGUCCACAACAGAUGUAGCAUUUUAUGUGGUUGAUGCUCACAUGUGGGGUUUCCGUGAUGCCUGUGCGGAGCAUCAUUUACAAAGGGGACAGGGAGUUGCUGGAAGAGCAUACGCUUCACGAAAAUCAUGCUAUUGUGAAGACAUCACAAAAUUUUGCAAAACCGAGUACCCUUUGGUACAUUAUGCACGCAUGUUUGGGUUGACCAGUUGUUUUGCAAUAUGCUUACGGAGCAGUCACACAGCCAAUGAUGAUUAUAUUCUGGAAUUUUUUCUGCCACCGAAUUCUGGGGAUUACAGUGACCAGCAGGCUUUGCUUAACUCACUCUUAUUGACAAUGAAGCAGCACUUCAGGAGUCUCAGCAUUGCUUCCGGAGGGGAACUUGAGCAUGACUGGAGUUCAGUUGAGAUUAUUCAGGCUUCCAUGGAAGAGAAAAUUGACGCAAAGCCUGAAUCUGUACCAACACCAAUAACUUCUCCUCAACUGACUAGUUUACCAAAUGGAUGGAUGCACCUUGAUCCAGUGGGAGAGCAGCAGUCAGCAGUAGGAUCCAAUGUUUCUAAAGGUGCAAGGAGCACAAGUGGUACAGGUGAAGCCCCUAACCAUGUAUCUAACUCCGACAAUAAAACGUCUGGAAAGAAAUCAGAGAGAAAACGUGGAAAAGCUGAGAAAACAAUUAGCUUAGAGGUUUUGCAGCAGUAUUUUGCUGGAAGUCUCAAGGAUGCUGCAAAGAGUCUUGGGGGUAUGUUCUCAAUUUGAAAUACUUUUUUUGACCAAAUCGCUUAUAUAAACGUAUCUCUUUUAUUUCCUUUUUUUUUUUAAAGCUAUUCUCAUCAAUGUUCUUGCAACAACAGUUUGCCCUACCACAAUGAAACGCAUAUGUAGGCAGCAUGGGAUCUCUAGAUGGCCAUCUCGCAAGAUAAAUAAGGUCAAUCGUUCCCUUUCAAAGCUAAAGUGUGUAAUUGAAUCCGUUCAAGGAGCCGAAGGUGCAUUUACUCUGACUUCACUGGCACCAAAUUCACUUCCUGCUGCUGUUAGUUCAAUUUCUUGGCCUGCUGGUGCAAAUGUUUCCAAUCUACCAAGUUCACCAUCGUCUAAACCUUCAGUAUUUCCUGGGGAGAAGAAUGAGUUCUCCCACCAUGGAACACCAGAAAGUCACAUAGAAGCUGAACCCUCAAAUCAAAUGCUAGGAGGCAGGGUGGCCAGGAAGGAAGAAUUCACUCCUACGCAGAACGGUUUUCUGCAUGCAGAAGGCACACGUAAGUCCAGAACAGGGAGUGUCUCAAGAGAAGUGAGCGCAGGGACACCUACGUCCCAUGGUUCAUGCCAAGGAAGUCCUUGUGCUGGAAAUGAAUUCUCCCCUCAGAACGAGCUGGUUAAUUCACCGGCACAUGAGUCGUGCAUGAAAGUGGGAGGCUCUCUGGAAGCAGCUCGCCAGACCACAACAGAAAUCAACUUAUCUUCUGCAUUCCUAAUGCCUCAGCCUAUUAUUCCAAAACACACCCAGGAACCAUUUGGAGGAAUGCUAGUUGAGGAUGCAGGCAGCUCUCACGAUCUGAGAAAUCUUUGUUUACCUAGAGACGCUCUGGUUGAUGAACGUGUCCCGGACUACAAUUUUACAAUCCCACCUGUUUCUGAUGCAACUGCCAAGGACCCCGUUUAUGUUCCCCCUGACGCGAUACAACAAUAUUCUGCCUGGCCUGAAGUGACAUCCGUUACAAUAAAAGCAACAUAUAAGGAAGACAUCAUAAGAUUUCGGCUUUGUUUAAAUUCUGGUACAGUUAAGUUGAAGGAAGAAGUAGCAAAGAGGCUUAAAUUAGAGCUUGGCACUAUCGACAUCAAGUAUCUAGACGAUGAUCUUGAGUUAGUUCCUAUUUCUUGUGAUGCUGAUUUGCAGGAAUGUGUCGAUAUCUCAAGAUCAUCGGGCAGCAGUAUUGUGAGGUUGUUGAUUCAUGAUAUUAUGUCCAACCUAGGGAGCUCCUGUGAGAGCUCAGGUAAAUGAUAAAGGAAUUAGGCUGUAAAUACAUAAAAACUAGUGAAGUAAUUAUUGUAAUACUAGGAUGUGUAAAUUUUGAUUGACAGGUUCUCUGUAAUUGUAACAAAUUUCCAAUUGUAUCAAGCCUCUGAGGUAAUAUAGUGUGUUUUCUUGUUUCUUUUGCUUCAGAAUAAAUUCAUUACUUAAAAUUUCCUCCUUUUUUGCUAUAAACGUAGUUUCCGGUCAAUUUGCACCCACCUCGAUAAAAUUUUACGUGAUACCCGCUAUCUUAUCUCUUUGAGUAGUAUAUCUUGAUGAAUAUACGGAAUAUUUCGUCUUUUUGGCUAGUAUGUACCGAUGAAAUUGUUGGUAUGCACACAUUCAAGAGGCCACUUAAUAUUUUGGUUUCAUCGCUACAAAGAAAGCUUUCGGAUUUUUCAUGGGAUCAAAACUUAAUAAAUUUCGAACUUUUUAUUCCAUAUCUGUUGCAACUAGUAUUUGAGUGUUUUUGCUUGAGUUGUACGAGAUGAAAGUCUCAUAUAUGAUUCUCAGAGGAGUAGUUUCAUCUAUCCCAAUAAUGUAUAUGAUUAGUUCAAAGAACGAUUAGUCUAACACUAUUUUUUAUAAACAAGAAAAGAAAGGACGAGAAAUCCAUCCCAAUUGACUAAAGUUUUCACCUAAACUUGAUUGUAUCACACCUCAAUAAUUCAUAUUAAUAUAUAUGAAACUGAAAAGCAACUUGUGAAACUAAUUCAUCUAAUAUAAUUUGACAGUAUAGAUGUAUUUUUAUCAAAGUAUUUUAAGCUACACAUUAAACAAUACAACAACAACCACAUAUCCCAUGCAUAUUAAACAACACUAUUAUCAUAAAUAAAAAAUAUGAGUAUGUUAGAUACUUCAUUAAAAAUUUAUAGAGCAUGCUUCUAAGUUCUAGGCGUAAAUUUUAAUUAGUCGGACUCAAAAAAGUACAAACACAGGGGUGUGAAAAAACAAAAAAAGAAAAGAAAAAAAUCAAUAUAAUAGAAACAACUAGGGAUAAGGGUUUGAAAAAUAUCCCAACUUUGGUCGAAUUUGCUGUUGCGAUACUAAACUUUCAUGAGGACCUAUUACCUCCCUAGACUAUUUAAUACCGUAUUUUUUUUACCCCCUGAACUAUUUAAUAGUGUAUUUUAAAGGUAUAUAUGUGCCCACGUGGACACAUUACUAUUUAUAAUUUUGCAUUAUUUUUUAUGUCCACGUGGGCAAAUAUAUAUGUUUAAAAUACGGUAUUAAAUAGUCUAGGGAGGUAAUAACUCCUUAUGAAAGUUUAGUAUCACAACAACAAAUCCGACCAAAAUUGGAAUAUUUUUCAGACCCUUAUCUCUAAAAAAAUCGAGGACUUGUUUAUUAUUAAUUCUGGUAACAUUUCUUAUCAUAUAUUUUCUUCUUACUAUACUUUUCAGGGCUCCGUUAUUAUUAUUUUUUCAAAAUAUAAGUAGACUUCAUGUAAGACUAAUUGUGUGCAGUUCAAAUUAAAAAAAUUAAAAAUAAAGACUCCAAAACCGAAUGGAGCUCUCUCCGUAUUAUCAUAUUUGCUAGUCAACUUGUUAAAAUAUUUCAUUAAACAUAAUUUAACAAUUAUAUAGAUGUAUUUUGAUAAGUAAUUACAGAGAAAACAAUAUUAUUAUCAUAACUAUAUCACUACAAAAAAAAGACUAUGUUAGAUGUUAACAUUUUAAUAAAGAUCUUAUAUUACUUUUUGUCUCAAUAUAGUAGAUUAUGUAGUCCGUGAAAUUAGUUGAGUUAUGUUUAAGUUGAUCCAAAUAUUAAAAAUGUUACGGAAAAUAUUUCAUCACAAACAUUUAUAGAGAAUUUUCAUAACUUGAAACAUGUCAGAAGACUGUUCUAAAGGAUAUUUCACCCGAUAUCGAUAUAUUUUUCAGAAUUCAAUAAGUUUUUCUAGUAUAAAACUAGAAACCAGACAAAGGUUCAAUAUAAACCAAACACAAGAAUAUUGGAGAAAGAAUAUUCACUUUCUCCCUUCCCCACCAAAUAAAUAGACAGACAUUUAUAGAUUAAAAAAAAAAGACAAAAUAAGAGUUGCUUAUGGCUGAACUUUUCAACGGUCAUUGAAAAAAAAUGAAUUUAAUAAUGUUGAAAGAAUUAAGAUAUUGUAAUGGCUAUUCAAAUGGUCAUUUAGAGAGGAAUUAAAGAUGAUUAAUGACUAAUCAAUAAAAGAUAUUUAACCACAAUAAAUGUAUUAAAAACUACUACUUAAUAAAGAAUGAACCUAGACACAAGUAUGAAUACUUCCUUUUGACUUUUGAGAUUCCAAAAUUAUUUUUCCAAUAAUAUCAUAGUUAUCACAAUAUUUUGGCAUAAUACAUAAAUAUACAAUUAAAAUUGGUCUUAACUGACAAGCAAAUAUAUCCAACUUUAAAAUACAUAUCUAGACCAUCUACAACUAAACAUUUCAUCUCGUUUUUAUAGUGUCUCGUGUACACCCAAUACUCACAUGAUACAUAAAUUUUAAAGAUAUUUAAAUAAUUAUUUUAUAAAUUUGAGUGUUUAACUAACACAAUAAAAAAAUGCAAAUUGAGAUGUCUAAUUUGCAAUACUAUUUUCAGAGUGAUCUUUCUCAAUUUCGAAAUGAAAAAAAAACUUAAUUUAAAGCAAAAUUCGCACGAUAACUUCUAAUAACUCGUUCAUUUUCAACCUGCGCUGGAGUUGGGGCGGAUGUAACUAAGUGGUCCUCCUCUUACCUUACAAGAGAAAGCUCCAAGUCCAAGGAUUAAAUUAUUAAUUAUUUAUAAAGAUAAAACUUUUUUCUUUUUUCAAAAUUUAUAGAAAAAUAAUUUCAAUUCUUAGUUGGCAACUAUACACUAGUACACCAUUGGCUUACCAAAAAUUGACCAUAUAUUAUACUAUAUAUACACAAGUAACUGAUAAUCAUCGCCAUUUUCUCGGAGCAACCCACUUUUCAGAUCUCUGAUUAAGGUACGAUUUUGAUUAAUUUAUUUAAAUUUAGAUGCAAAGUAAGUUAUUUGAUUUGGAGUUUUGAAAUUUUUGCAGUUUUUUUGUUAAAAUUGAUGUUUGUUUAACUCAGUUAUUAUCGAUUUUAUGGCCGGAAUAUGUAUGUUUUUGAUUUCUGAUAUAUGGGUCAUGAAGAAAUGAAACUUUUACAACAACUUAACCAGUAAAAAUUUUACGAGGUGGAGUCUUUCUCGAGUACAGUUUUCCAAAAAAAUCGAACUUCAAUAUAUAUUGGAGAAAUUUUGUCUCUUCCUAUUUUUUUUUUCUAUAGAAUAGUGUAUAUAUUGGUGUUUCGUGCGGUCAUAAAAAUAAUUUAUAAAGAUAUUAAUAUCCUGACAAUUAGUUUAAGUAGGAUCAGUUCUAUUACAAUUUUUUUUUAAAAAAUUUUCCAUUUAGAUAUUCACAUUGGAAACUCGACUAAAUUCAGAUUCGUGUCGGAAAGUCCCAUCUUAGGGGUAAAGUGCGCCCUAACAAAGGUGAUCCAGGAAACUCGAACCAAAAUCUCUUGAUUAAGGAAUAAGGAGUACUUACUACUCCACCACAACCCUUGUAGGUCUCUUACAAAAUAUAUAAUUAUGCUGUGAUUAUUCUUUGUCCAUUAUUUGGUUCAACGAAUUAAGGACAGUAUUUUUUAAAAAUAUAUAAUGCUAAUAUAACGAUUUGCUAUUUGUUAUUUAUAGACUUAUAGUACCUAAGAGAGUAAAAGACAUCGUUUAGCAUUAUGUUAGGAACGUUUAAGGAACAGAAAAAGAUGUACUAAAAAUGUGUGAUUAUUGAAUUUUAAAAAAAACAUAGUUACAUAAACAAAUGAAUAAGAAAAAGUAAAAUUGAAAAGAAAAAAAAAAGAAGGAAAAAAGAUACAUAUAAGAUGGUAGUAAUUGAUUUUGACUUGAUUUCUAAAACAAAUGGAACUUUUGUAAAUCAAUAAGUUGUAAAACUGAGCACUGUGAGGGAGUUGUGAAAAUUGCAAUUGCAAUCACUUAGUUGUUCCUGUAUGAGAGUCCACUUAAAUUGUCAGUCUCGCGCCUGGAUAAAUAAGGAGGAUAGCACUAGGCUAACGAUCGAUGUAAAACUAGUCAAUUCAGUCAUUAGAAAAUGUUGAAAACUGCUAAUGUUAGAGAACCAUGUCCAUAGGUAUUGAUUAGUAGAAUGAAAACUUGUUCAGAUGAAACAAUAUAGAUAGUGAAGAUCCAUAUAAUCGACCACUACUAGCUUGUGAUUGAAACAUAUUUGAUGCUGUUGAUUAAGAUUGACUCAGAAGAUUUGGUUAUGUUAGAUUUUAAUCAUUGCAUAUAAGAAAUUGGUUAUUGUAACAGCUUUGAUCCACAUUUUUGAAACGUUGUUUUUAGUCAACAAAUUUUCUUAUCAAUGUUGGUUUGAUGCACUUCUCGCGUUGAUUGUGGUUGUAUAUUGAAGUUGUUUUAGUUCCAACUCUAUUCGAAUUCAUUUAACUGCUUAAUCUUCGCGCUCAAUUGCUAUGUGUUCUGUUUUUGCUGCUUCUGCCGCUGGUAUGUUAGCAAAGUCAGAUUUCUGUAACUUGAUAUCUUGUGUUUUGACUUCGAAUACUGAAUAACUGUGUUAAAUUGCAGGAAAUUCAACACAGUGUAUCGUGUAUGGCUAGCUUCAAGGCAUUUUUGAACAGUCCUGUUGGCCCCAAAACAACUCAUUUUUGGGGUCCCAUAGGCAACUGGGGAUUUAUCAUUGCUGUACACUUAUCUAGAAUACAUAAUAUUAUAACAUGAUGUUUGUUUCUUUUGGUUGAUGUUGUACAUGAGUUAUCUUUACGUACAUUGCAGGGACUCGUAGACACACAGAAACCUCCAGAAAUGAUAUCACGCAACAUGACCUCAGGUAUAGGACUUUUCUGUUUAAACAGAUGCUGGCUUUAACGAUUAAUACAUUUAUCUUCUUCUUCUUUCUGAUAAUGCAGUAAUGUGUGUGUAUUCUGCACUGUUCAUGAGAUUUGCAUGGAUGGUACAGCCUCGUAAUUAUCUACUAAUGGUAUCCCAUGCCUCGAAUGAGACCGUGCAACUUUAUCAGUUAUCACGUUGGGCAAAGAGUCAAGGGUAAGCGAUUACCCUAACUUUACUACUUUGUUUUGUGUGUACAGUUGCAAUUUUACGAGUAUAUGUUUUGCAAAUAUAUGCUACCAAUCAUUCAUUUGUGUUUAUGUUGGUUUCCCCAUCGUACGUGCAGAUAUUUGCAGAAGAAAGCAGAGUGAUCUAGUGUUCUUUCCUGUUUAAUUCUGGACAUGUGUAUAGUUUUGGUAAUUUUCGAUAUCUCUAUUUGCACAGAUUAUUGUCCUUGAUCAUCCAAGAGCUGAACUAGGAGCUCAAAUUAUUACAUAUGCCACAGUAAAUAGCAUAAUUUGAAUGGCAAGAAAUGUUAGUAUGGAAGAAUUUAAUAUAUUUGUGAUUUCACCCAGCGCAAGGUCCAUUUCUUAUCAUAUUAUCAGAGUCAUACCCAUCUCUGUUCUAGGCUUACUCGAUGUUGAGCAUCCAUAUUAUAUUGUUCAUGCUUCAAAUAUCCAGUCCUGGGGGCGAGGGUACUGAGAGCCCUACAUUAGGGUGUGGGAUGAGAUUGUUUUCUCUUUAUAUGGUCUUGAGUAAUACUAGCUCGUGAACUAUUUGGGGUUAAGUUAGACCCAAUGUUCAUUUGACUUUUAGCUGUCAUGUGCACCACAAAGUUUAAAUCAAGAUAAAGGAACAAAGAUAUUAUCUGUAGCACAGUAGCAGUAGGUGAAGGCUGUUGCUUCUAUUUGUUGUUAUUUCUUGUCUUUGUUCCUAUACUGAAGAGGGGCGCGGGGUUGGCGUGGGGGUGGGUGCUACGAAAGGAAAAUGGGCCCAUUGACGUUGAGCUAAUGACUCAAAAUCAUUAGAAUAUGGGCCUUCCAAACAUUAAGUUAAACACUAGCGCAGCCUCGUUGCUCGCCUUUUGGGCCGCUCCAGAGACUGUCUUCUCAACCAGGUCCAGUUUUCCUUGAGUUUGUCUUUCUGUUAUCUGUCUCCCAGUAUACUUGUAAUAGGUGGCAUAAAGCAUUAGUUGUGCUAGCCCCAGCAUUGCUCCCAUCACAUUUGCUGUCUGAAAUAAAGAAGUGAAAAAUUUAGAGCAAUCAAGAAGAAUUUAACUUAACUUAUAUACGUUGACAGUAAGUGAAAAAUACUCACAAGAAGGUAGAAGUCGACACUGAUGAUGGCAUAAGCAGUCCAACUUAUGCUGCAUAGAAAGGAGAAAAAGGAAAGAUAGAAGGGCAUGUACUCCACACUCUUGGUUUUUAUCACCAAUUUCUACAAUAGCAAAAAGUAUCAGAAGUUCUCUAUUUAUUCUAAUGAGAUAUAAAUCUCACACAUAUGCUAAGGCCGGAGCUAAGAGGGAUGCAAAGGGGACCUAUCUGAAACCCUGGCCCUUCGCUGGUAUAUAUAUAUAUAUAUAUAUAAAGUCAAUUUAUUUUUGUUGAAUUCAUUUAGUGAACAUUCUAAAAAAAUCAUUAAGUACAAUCUGAAACCUUGGCCCUUCGUUGAAAAAUAAUUUAUUUUUGUUGAAUUCAUUUAGUGAACAUUCUAAAAAAAUCAUUAAGUACGUAAAAAAGGAAAGAUAGAAGGGCAUGUACUCCACACUCUUGUUUUUUAUCACCAAUUUCUACAAUAGUAAAAAGUAUCAAAAGUUCUCUAUAUAUUCUACCGACAUAUAAAUCUCACACAUAUGCUAAGGCCGGAGCUAAGAGGGAUGCAAAGGGGACCUAUCUGAAACCCUGGCCCUUCGCUGGUAUAUAUAUAUAUAUAUAUAUAAAGUCAAUUUAUUUUUGUUGAAUUCAUUUAGUGAACAUUCUAGAAAAAACAUUAAGUAUGUAAAAAAGGAAAUUAUAUAUUUACCAUGAUGGUCAAAGGAGAAGCAUACAUCAAAAUAUUUGCCACCAUGCAAAUAGUACCAACAAUUGUGUAUCUUUUUUUGUGGCAAUGGACAAGAGUUAUGACAAGAAUGGCAAGUGAACCAAUGAACACAAUUUCACUUAAGAUGAUGAAGAAAAUUUUCAUCCUUUUUUCCUUUUUAGAGUACAACACAAAUAGCAUCAAGUACACCAUGUCAAUGGCAAGUCCAAUUCUAUUAAUGGUCAUGAUAAGAAGGCUUCCUUGUUGUUGAAUCCAUGGAAGUCCAUAUAAAAGCCAAAGGCCACAGUUUAGGAAUGCAACAAUGUAUGGAAAUGGUGAGAAUUUCUCCACUGAUUUCUUCUUCCACAUAUGAAUAAAUGUAGGCCUAAAAAGAAGUUUAAGAAGUUAAUGAGCAAGAGGUGAACAAGUUUAGAUUAAUUACUUCCUCCGUCCCAUUUUACGUGGCACUUUUCAGAUUUCGAGAUUCAAACAAGUCUAUCUUUGACUUAUUUUUUUUAUAGAUCUUUAGACAUGUUGAAUUAUCAAUUAUUGUGACUUAUAAUACUUUUUACUUAGUUUACAAAUAUAUAAAUUUCAUUUUAAAAAAAGUUGAAAAUUCCAUGCGCAAAUUCCUGAUCAAACUUAAACUGUUUGACUCUCGAAAAAUAAAAAGUAUCACAUAAAUUGGGACAGAGGGAGUACUAAUUUGCUUAUUUCACUUGGAUAUUAAAUAAAUUUAACAACUACUAUGCUUCGGUCCCAAACAAGAGUGAUUUGUCAUUGACUAUAAGUAACAAGACAACAACAACAAAUAUAAUGUAAUGCCACAGAGUGGAAUCUGGAGAGGGUAAAGUGUAUGCAGAUUUUAAGGUAGAAUAUAAGUAAACAAGACAUAACGAAAAAAGUUCAAGCCAUAUAGACACACACAUCCUUUAAAUUAUCUUGAGAACUCAAUAAAUGGAGAAACAUGUAUAUAGCUUGCUUACAAGGGUGAAAGCAACAAGAUGAAUGCAUUGAUGCUUCCUGAAAUAAACAUACCAAAAUUCAUAUCAACAAAACAUAGUGAGAAAAAAAUUCAGCGAGUGUAUUUGUGUAUAUAAUUGUUUUUGAUAGGGUAGAAAACUAUGUUGCUCUAAUUCUUCAAAAGCGCCAGUGGGCACGCGCGUCCUGUCGUGUCGGAUCCUCUAAAAGUGUACUUGUCGGAUCCUUUAAAACUAGUGCACUUUUAGAGGAUCCGACACAGGUAACACUGUAUUUUUGAAGAGUUCAAACAAUAAAGAUAGAAAGUGAGUCCAAGAAACUUUUUUUUUCAUCACCCAACAACUUAAGAAAUAGAGGAAACUAACCAAAAAGACCAAAAGCAACAUGAGCAUGCUCUCUAUCAAUAACCAUGUCAAUGAAGAAAAAGAGAGGAACAAAUGCUAAAUUGGGAGGAGGGUGUGGGGAAAUGAAAAAAAAAACACCAAAUAAAUUGGGGAAAAGAGAAUUAAUUAUUUUUUGCAUGUAUUAUAGUUAGUCAAAGAUAAAACUACUCAUCAAUUAAUUAUUAUUAUUAUUUUUGCUUACACUAAAUUGGAAGCCAAACUUAUACUUAUUUUUUCUUUUGUUUUCAUUCUGGAUUGAGGUUACCCUCCAAUCUUUUGAAGUCAAAGUAUUCACAUUUACUCGUUUAUUUUGGAUUUUACAAUCCUUAUUAAAGAACAAUAAUUAAUAUGUAUUUUAUUAAAACACUUAUGUAAUUUUAAAUCAUGAGAAUUAUUUAGAGAUGUUAAAAGUAAAAUAGAAACAAGAUAUUAUUAUUGUUUAGUUAAAAAUAACAAAGAAAGUAAAAAAUAUUUUUGAAAUACAUUAAAAUAAGAGAAAAAACAUAAAAUGACAUCUGAAGUUGUCUUAAAUUUUUAAAAAGACACUUAAAGUUUGCGGGCGUCCCAUUACAUAUACCCCAUGUAACUAUUUCAAAUCACAAUAAAUAAACACUUUUGACCCAUUUUCACAAUAGCUGUGUUCUCACAUAUGAUAGGCGCGUGGAGGAGUAAAAAUACAUCCCAAACCAAUGUAAAAAUAUCAUGUGGCACUAGCAAUUUGAAUUUUCUUCUUUACUAAAAGACCCACUUUCCAUCUUCUUCAAAACCUCCAUUGAUAGAUGUUGAAGAGUUUUCCAUCUACAACCAAAAAAAAAAAAAAAAUUCCCCAUCCUCAAUGAAUUUAUCAUCUAGUUUUACUAGCUUCAAUUUCUUCCUUUUAUUUUAUUUAAAAGUUAUGAAAUCAACUAAUUUGUAAAUCUUGAAAGUGCAAUUGCAGACAAAUUUCAAAACUAAAUUAGUGAAGAAACAUUCAAACUCAAAUCAGUCCUAAACUAACACUACAUACACAUGAAUAAUAGAUAACACAAAAACAAAAUAACAACAAAUCACUAUAAAAUUAUUUUACAAAAAAUCACUACUAUAUAGAAAGAACAUUUUUUAACAAAAAAUUGCAUUCAAAUCAAGAAACAAUUAACAUGUGAGCCUUCACUUUUUCGUUUUGACUCCAUAAUUCAAGAAAUUAUCUCCGCAAAAUAAAUUUAUUGUGACUAUUGACAUGCUUUAAGGUUUUGAUCAUCAAAGAGAGAGAGUGGAGUGAAAAUCUAAAAGGGGUUUAGGGUUAAAUGGAGUGGUCAUGAUUAAAAUGUGAAUGGGUCAAGAUUUUAUUCAAUUUUUACUAAAUAAAUUGGAAAAAAUAUGUAAUUAUAUUAUUAAUUGGGGUGAGAUUCACGCUCAAGCACUAAGAAUGCAGAUUGUGUAAAAAGUGUGUAUUUAUUGUGAUUCUGAAAUAUUUUGUGGAGUAAUAAGACGACCGCAAAAUUAAAAUGUAUUUUUAAAAAUUUGAAACAACUUUAUGUGUCACUUUAUAUCUUUUCUUUUAAAAUAAAUAAAAGUGAAUGAAGGGAGUAAUUUUUUUUACAAGUUUGUUUUGAUUUUGGAGUAUUAUAUUUCAUUGGAAUUUGUAUCCUUCACAUCACCCAAUAAUUAGCAAAAUCUUUUUGUCCCACAAUAAUUACUAUAUUCGUCCGCUUUUAAUUGUUACAAUUUCCCUUUUUAGAGUUAAAGGAUAGUAAUAACUUUGAUUAAUAUUUUAUAAUGUAUUUUUUCAUCAUAUUGAUACGCAAAUUUAGAAUUUAUAGUAUUAUUCGUAUAGUUUUUGAAUAUCAAAAUUUUCUAUUUAAAAUAUCGAAUUAAUGUAAUCGAAUGUAACUUUGAAAAUUACUUAAAUUGACUUUCGAAAAACGCAACAUGACAAUUAAAAGUGGACAGAGGAAGAGGAAGUAUUAUCUAAGAAAUUCAACACAAGAAAUGAUAAUUUCAUUCUUUUAUUUUUAUUGUCACAUAUUCUAUUUUACUAGAGUUAAUUGGGUUAGUUUUUAUUUAAAUUUUAAAUUUGAAUAAUUGAAAACUACGUGAAACAUACCUGCAAGUUAUAUAUUUUUUUAAUAUUAGUAUCAUGAAAAAAAUACAACUUAAUAUUAAUCAAAAUAAAUAUAAUUUGGCUUUCAAAAAUCACAAGAAAUAAGUAAAAGUAACCUGAGGGAGUAACAAAGGAGUACGAACAACUUUAUUCAACGUGUUAAUAAGUUAAAACCAACACUACAGAAAAAUCUCGCAUGCAACUAAGGAUGUAACUGAUCAGAUGUAACCGCCAUUGACACGAAUAAUCUGUCCAUUCACCCAUUCAGAAGCAUCGCCGGCCAAAAAUCCGACGACCGGAGCAACAUCCUCCGACUGACCAAGUCUUCCAUGUGGACACUCAUCAAUCACCUUCUUCACUUUCUCUUCCGUUGCUCCAUUGAAAAACAUAUCCGUCGCUAUCGGUCCCGGCGCCACACAAUUCGCCGUUAUUCCUGUUCCUUUUAGUUCCUUCGCCAGUAUUUUCACCAUUGCUUCCACCGCCGCCUUCGACGCCGUGUACGCACCGUCAGUGGCGGAGGCAGGAAUUCUAUCAAGGGGGUUCAAAUAAUAAAAAAAGUUGUUGCCUGGAAUCGAACCCGUGACCCAAAGCUCACAUAGGCUGAAUCCUGACCCCCAUAAACUACUGAGCUACUCCUUUGACAUAUGCUCAGGGGUUCAAUUUUAAAUAUAUACACGUACACAAAAAAUUGAUCUUAUAUAUAUAGUGUAAUUUUUUUUUUCCGAGGGGGGUCGGAUGACCCCCCUGGACACACUAUAGAUCCGCCCCUGCGCACCGUUCCCAGCCCGAAACGACGCUGUCGCAGAUGACGUCACACAUAUAAUCCUUCCUCCGCCUCGGCGUUUGAUCAUUCUGUUCGCAGCUUCCUUACAGCAUAAAAAGGAUCCACGAGUAUUCACGCUAAAAGUCAAAUCGAAAUCGUUGAGAUCUGUAUUCAUGAUCGUUGGAUGCUUUUCGUCACACACGGCGGCGGAGUUCACUAAGAUGUUGACCGGAGAUUGAAAAGCUGAUUCAGCUGCGUCAAAUAGGGAUUUCACUGAGUCUGGAUCUGAGAUAUCAGCUUUAACGGCGACAGCGACGGCAGAUACGGCGGAAUUAUUCAUGGAUUUAUUAGAAUUGAUUUGAGAAACGACGUCGUCGGCUAGAGUAGUGGAGUUUGAGGAGGAAUAGUUGAUGAUGAGCUUAGCACCGAGAGAAGCUAGAUGAAGUGCAAUCGCUUUUCCGAUGCCGCGAGAAGAUCCGGUAACGAUAGCUACCCGAUUUUCGAGCGGCAAUUUUUGAGCAGGUACGUUUUCGUUUGAUUCCGCCAUGAAUGAAGAAAUUAAAGCUUUGAAAUUACUACUACUAAGGAAAGAUAAAUCAAUCGAACCAAGUCGAUGAUAUAUAAAAAUCGAUCAAACUGAUGAUUAAAACUUCUUUGUUCAUCGGGAAGAUAAUUUAUCCUUUUUCAAUUCAAUUAUUUAAAGAAAUGCAAAUCUUAUGAUUUGUUUAACAAUAUCAUAUGAUUUGAAAUCCCAACAUUACCUUACAACUUGUUUUAAAAUAAUCACAUAUUAUUUAUACAACAUUUUUAUAUUAGUUCUUCCUCUUACUCUAUUUUUAGAAUUUUUUACCAAAAACACUCAUAAACUAUACCCUUAAUUUAAAUUUUUUAAUCAAAUAAUUAAUGAAUUUUACACAAAAAUAUGUGCAGGUCACAUUGCUCUCCAUAAAAAAUUUCCCAUAUAAUUUCAUUAUUGGUUGGAAAAAGCACUCUUAUUUGCUAAAAAGAAAUUAAGUUAGAAUGGUGUUGCAAAGAGACAUGAUAUGCUCUUCUCCUCCUUUACCAACUUAACGAAGUUGAAGCUUAAUUUCACAUCAUUUUCACCUUCUGUAAAGACAAAAUGUAAGUAGAUCAAUAAUUAUUUGGGGCAUUUGAUAUUUGAAGUGAUCAAGAUUCUGAAUUUCAUAUAUGGCACUCGAAUUUUGUUCUCCAUUAUUAAAAGUAAAAGUCUCAGGUGACCACCAUUUCUUGCAGUUUCAAAGAGAAAAAAAAUAUUUCAAUUGGUAAUUUUUUAAUAUCAAAUCAAAUGAAAAAUAAAUUAAAACAAAGUUGCUAAUAAAAGGAUCUGCAUAAUGCCAAGUGUUGUUGCCAAAAAGAAUUCACAAUAUUUUAGAUGUAUCACGGAUCGAAUGAAAAGAUUUUUUAAUCUUUGGUGAUUUAGGGAGUUUUGCCGAGAGUAAUAUAAAUUACACAUAUUUUUGUAGGAAUUCUGUUAAUUUUUUGUCAAAUUUUAACAAAAGGAUGGAAGUUGUUAAAGUUUAAAAUACUUGAAGGAUGUUUUUUUGUUAAGAAGAAUAAUUUAAUGAUGUAAUUUAAGUUAGGAGUAGUUAAAGAAUGUUUUUGGCCAAAAACUCCUACUUUUAUUAUAAGUUUAUCAUUCAAGAUGUAUGACAAUACAAUCUAUUCAAACACUAUAUUUAUUGAAACAAUACAUUGCAAUUUGCAAUACACCACAGUUCACAUUACAAUACAUUAUGAUGACCAUCCAAAUUCCAAAUAAAGUGUGAAAAAAAAAAGCAAUCACAUAUGAUUAAUAAUAUCGUAAAACUCGAAUGAAUACCAAUUCAUGUAAUAAUUUCAAUAAAUUCAAACUUAUUUUAUUUAAAUACUCUUCCUAUGAAAUUAUCUAAAUUUCUCUCUGAUGAUCCUUCAGCUCUUAAUGCAUUAUUCUCUAACGUUUUCUUCACUUCCUUAAUUGCAUUUCUACACUCAUCACUUAAAUUUCCGUACAUAAAAUUGUGUAUUUUCUCUGAAAUUUCAACCUUAGUAAUUGGAUUUUUAUUGCACAAAUUAAGUCCGAUAUUCCAAUCAUCGACUACUAAUUUUCGAUUAGUAAAUUGAUCAGUGAGCAGAGGGAAACAAAACAAUGGAACUUCACACCAAAUGGCUUCCAGGAUUGAGUUCCAGCCACAAUGAAUCAAGAAUCCUCCGAUUGCUGAGUGAGUCACCACUUAUUUUUGACAACACCAAGGUACGACUAAACCACGACCACAAAUUUCUCCUUCAAAAUCUUUAGGUAACGGGUUCGGGUCAUCGGACCUUACAAUAUCGGGUCGGAGCAACCAAAUAAAACUAACUUUACUUAAUGAUAAACCAUAAGCUAUCUCUACAAGGUCAUUUUUGGUAAUAUGGGAAUAGCUACCAAAUGACACGUAUAAAACAGUUGCAUGUUGUUGUAAGUCGAGCCAGUGGGUGCAGUCGGACUCAAACCACAUGCUAGUAGUCACACAGCUCUUGGUGAACUCGGGUGGGAAGAUGGGUCCUAUCGCGUAAAAUGGCUUUUCAAUUUGUAGAGCUGAUAUAAUCUCGUAUUUGAGCUCCUAACAUAAGAUGAAAUCAGUAUUUCUUACAUCAUUAAAUGCAUUGAAAAUAAUUUGAUGACACAUUAGGUUGUGUCUGUUUCUUGAAGAUAUGACAUUAGGAUUAGGUCCUUUGGCUUUAUUGAUUGGACUCCUGGUAUAUAUAGUCAAUAGGAUCUUCACGCAUAUCUGUCAUCUGACCUCAAAUCAAACAAUAAACAUGAGCCAAUAUUAAAAAUAAAUAAACCGAAAAGGGUCAAAAUUACCCUUAAACUAUUCGAAAUAGAUUAAUUAUAUCCUUAAACUAUAUUUCGGCUCAAAAGUGUCCUUCCCGUCUAACUAUUGGACCCUGCUUACUCUUCUGUUUAACGGAAGAGUUAUGUGGCAUCCAUGUGUAUAUUAAAAUGCCACAUAGAUCUCCACAUGUGCACGCCAACACACCCACCUCCAUGUAGAAGCCCUAAUUUCCUUAGAAGAUUUUGUAAUAUAGAUUAUAGAAUAAGAGAUUAAAAUGAACAUAUAGGGAAGCUUACCAAUACAACCAAAGUGGCCAUGUAACAUCAAGAGAUGAAGAUGAUAAUAAAGGGUAAAAACCAAAGCUGGUUCUGUCCAAAAAUAUAGGUAUAAAAGUCCAUAUUUCUUGGUCAAUUUUCCAGGAAACACAAAGAAAGAAUCAGCAAUCAAACAGGUCACUGGAGGAUCUAAUUUUGACUCUUCUAGUUUUCACCAAAGCUUCUUCAACAUGAGCUGAGAACACAUGUAAUAAAGAAGCCAUGAAUUGGUGAUGGUUCAAUGACCUAUCGAAAUUUACUGGUAGCCCAUCAGACACCGUCAUAUAACGUAUAUCUAGUUCUUGAUGACCUUGAACGCUAUAAAAUAUGUCGAUAUUACUAUUCUUUUGAGUGAUCUGAUAGUGUGUGGACUCUGUAUUGAUGAAGGUGAUAGUGAAACCUUUUUGUGCAAGCUUGACUGCUAGAUGGAUUGUGAAAUGGUGCAAAGUCAGUGUAUGCAAGGUAUCAUGAUAUACUUGGGGUAGCUAGAAAUUUCAAUAAAAUAAUAAUAUACUCUGUGUAAUUUCAUAAGUAGAAUUGAAGAAGGAUAGGAGAGAGCAAGAUAAGAAUACGAAGCAUGGUAGCAAGUAAGGGUGUAAUGGACGGGCUGAUUUGGGUUUUUCAAAUAUCAAACCAAACCAUUUAUGUCGGAUUUUUAAAUCUAUAAACUAAAUCAAAUUAAUAAAAUUCGAAUUUUUCAACCUUGGGUUUUUUCUGGUUUUUCCGAUAAGUAUUCAUAAAAACAUAUAAUUAAUUUGUGCUUCAAAUAUUUCUUUUGUCCUACCAAAAUACAACUAUCGAAGGUGUUUAUUAAGAAAAUAACACAAAACAUGAGAUGAGUGAUGACACUAAAUACUGAUCAACAAAAAAUAAUAAUGAAAGUGCAUAAACCAAAUCUUGCAAAUUAAUAAGUUAUAAUGAAAAUGAUCAUAAUUUAAAAGUACUAAAUCAUGCUAAAAUAAGUCUAAUAAGUAUUAAUUACAUCACUAAAUAUUAAAGAAAAACUAAAAUUAGAUUAUGUAUUUUAAUUGUCUAAACUAAUGUAAAACUAAAGAACAAAUAUUCAACAUUAUUAUUGUCAUUCUUAAUGUUGAUCAAACUGAUUUUUUUUGUUAGCAUUAGUAUGAAUUUGAUUUUGAUUUGAGCUUUUUAGAAUUACUAACAUUAUAUGGACUAGAACCUUCAUUGGACCAUUCAAAAUCCUAAGUUUGUAUUUAUAAAUUAUAUCAAAGUAAUAUUUUUAUAUAAUAUAAAAUAAAAUUUUAAAAUUAUGUACAUAGUGUCAGAUUGGUUGGGUCUCGGGUUGAUUUUUUAGUUAAGACCAACCCAAUCCAACCUAAGUAUAGUCGGAUAUUUUUUUUCCCGAUUUGACUCUUUUACAGUUUAAUUUGAUUUUCAAUUCAAUUUUGUACACCCUUAACUACAACAAAAUAUAGUACCAAAAUGUAAAGCAAUUGAAGUAACAUGUAUUCAACAUGUAGCAAAAUACAAAUAGAAGAAAAUGAAUAACACGAUUAGUAAAUAAUACGUACUAUUAAUAAGAAACAGUGUAGAGAAAGCUAUCCCCUGCCUCUCUCACACAAUGAGACAACACUUCGCUAUAUAAUUUUUUUGUGAAAUACUCCCUCCAUUUCAAAAAGAGUGGUCUGAUUUGACUUGGCACGAAGUUUAAGAAAUUAAAGAAGACUAUUGAAUCUUGUGGUCCUAAAUUAAAGUUAUGUCAAAUGUACAAAAUUAUCCUUAAUCUUGUGGUCUUAAACAUGCCACGUGGAAAACAAAAAGUAAAAUGUUACCAAAAAAAAAUCAUUCUUUUUUAAACUGACUAAAAAAAAAAAGAGGUCAUUCUUUGUGAAACGGAGAGAGUAUAAUUUUCCGACAAAGGAUAUUCUAACUUUCUAUCUUUUAGGCUAAUGUGGCUCUGCUGCUACUCCUAAAUUUAUUAAAAUUUCCCUUCUUCCUUUUAUCAUUUGGAUAAUAAUCCUAACAGAAAUGUUGUCACCAAAUGACAUAAUACCCAUAUCAGCUAUACUAUAAGACAUUUUGUUGGUGUGACCAUUUUAAUAUUAUACAAAUUGUUACAUAUUCACAUUGCCAAUGCCACACUAAGUCUUUGCUGAAAUGUAUGACAUUUGUGCCUAAUUACUCAUGGUCAAUUAAUGACCAGAGGCAUAAGGCAUAUUACUUUCUGAACGUUGGCAAUGGAACGUUGGCAUCUGCACGUUAGUGCAUUUGUUGCCCUCAACUUUAUUUCAUUCUUUACUCCUCCAUUAUUUUUGUAACCUAUGUAACUCCUACGACCAUUAUCUUCACUAUUUACUACACCAUUAUCUUCAUAUUCAUUGCUAGGAAGACUUCUUGUACUAUAAAUAGUGGUGGUCUUCAUUUGGUUUGUGACACACAACAUAUAAGAAAAAUAUAGAGUGAAAGAGUUAGUCCCUUCUUAUUAGUUGAAGGGAUGUGUUUUUUUUGUGGAGCUUUGGACUCAACUCUUGUCCAGAGUUGUUGAGUUAUAUUUUGUGAUUAGGCUGUUGUAUCCUGGAGGGGACAAGUCAAGAAGGAUUACCGCUGGACCGGUGAAAAUAUUUGCUGCAAUGGGCUUGAAUCUCAUUAAAGAGAGCGAGAUAUCCGCGCCUCAGCCUGAAGAGAUUUAUUUCUUCAUUUUUAUUUUCAAUUGCAAUUUUGUAUUUUUUUCUUAUCUUGUAAGUUUUUCACUAACAAUUUUAAGGAGAUUCACCAUGAAUACAAUUGAAAAAAACGCGGAUGUCAAGAUGGGAGACCUUAACAAGCCAUUUCGGUUCAAUGGUAACCAUUUUAAGAGAUGGAAGGGUAAAGUACUUUUCUACUUAAGUCUUCUCAAUGUUUCUUAUGUGUUAACUGAGAAGAAUCCUAAUAAAGUAGACAUCACCUCUAUGAACGAUGAUGAAACUAUUUCUCAUCUAGAGAAAGUGGAAAAGUACGAUGGUGAUUCCUAUAAGUGUCGGUAUUAUAUUCUUAAUUGUCUAUCUGAUAAUUUUUAUGAUUAUUAUGAUAGAACUUACUCUAGUGCAAAGAAAAUUUGGAAAGCAUUGCAGUGUAAGUAUGAUACCAAAGAGGCUGGAGCGAAAAAAUAUGCGGCUAGUAGAUUUUUUCGUUUCCAAAUGGUGGACAACAAAUCAGUGGUAGACCAAGCUCAAGACUUUAUAAUGAUUGUUGGAGAGCUUAGAUCCGAGGAGGUUAAAAUUGGAGAUAACCUUAUUGUUUGUGGCAUAGUGGAUAAACUUCCACCUUCUUGGAAGGAAUUUUCAAAAAACUAUGCACCACAAACAAAAGGAAUCCUCUCUUGAAACCUUGAUAAUGAAAAUCCGCAUGGAAGAAGAGGAAAGGGGCCAAGAUGCACUUUUGCAAACAGAAGAGAGCAACAUCACAACGAAUGUAAAUUUAAUUACUUCAAAUAAUGCUACUCCUGAAACUCACAAAAAUACUUCUUUGAAGCCUAAGAAGAAAAAAUUCAAGAAAAAUAAUGGUGGAAAUAUCCAAGCACAAAAUUAGCAAGUUCAAGACAAGGGACCAUGCUUUGUUUGUGGCAAGAGUGGGCAUAUUGCUCGAUUUUGCAGAUUCCGAAAACGUGGUCCUAACCCUCUGGCAAACGUUACCGAAGAACCUUUUGUGGCGGUGAUUACCGACAUAAACAUGGUUGAGAAUGUUGAUGGAUGGUGGGCUGGAUUCUGGUGCAAACCGUCAUGUCUGUUAUGACAAAGACUAGCUUAAGAAAUAUACUCAUUUUGAGGAGCCCAAAACCAUCAUGCUUGGUGAUGCUCACACUACUCAAGUGCUUGGAAAGGGAGAUGUCGAAUUGUGUUUUACUUCUGGAAGGGAAUUAACUUUGAAAGAUGUACUUUAUACUCCUUCUAUGAGGAAAAAUCUGAUGUCUAGUUUUCUUCUUAAUAAAGCAGGCUUUAAACAAAUUAUUGAAUCUGAUCAAUAUGUAAUAGUGAAGAAGGGUAUUUUUGUGGGAAAGGGGUAUGCAUGUGAUGGGAUGUUCAAAUUGAAUGUUGAAAUGAAUAAAACUUCUACUUCUGUUUACAUGCUUUCUUCUACCAAUUUUUGGUCAUGCUCGUUUGUGUCAUAUUAAUGACCGUUAUGUUGGAAUCAUGAGUAGUUUAGGAUUAAUUCCAAUGAUUAAAAAGAAUUUUGAAAAGUGUGAGGCUUGUAGUAAAGCCAAGAUCACUAAAAGGCCUCAUUUUCAAGUUGAAAGAAAACUAAUUUGUUAGAAAUAGUUCAUACUGAUAUUUGUGAACUUGGUGGAAUUUUAACUCGUGGAGGUAAUAGAUAUUUUAUCACUUUCAUUGAUGAUUUUUUCUAAGUUUACAUAUGUUUACUUGAUGAAAAAUAAAAGUGAUGCUUUUGAAAAUUUCAAAACUUAUCUCCAUGAAGUUAAAAAUCAGUUUGGAAGAAAAAUAAAAGAAUUAGAAGUGAUAGAGGCCGUGAAUAUGAGUCAAAUGAGUUUAAUUCUUUUGUUAGAUCAUUGAGAAUAAUUCAUGAAACUACUCCUCCUUACUCUCCUUCAUCUAAUGGAGUAGCGGAAAGGAAAAAUAGAACUUUGGUUGAAUUGACUAAUGCCAUGCUUAUUGAGUCACAUGCACCUUUAAAUUUUUGGGGUGAAGCUAUUUUAACUGCUUGUUAUGUGUUGAAUCGUGUGCCUAAAAAAAAAGUCUAAACUGACACCUUUUGAAUUGUGGAAAGGUUACAAGCCAAGUUUGGGAUAUCUAAGAGUUUGGGGUUGUCUAGCCUUUGUGAGGCUAAUGGAUCCCAAAAUUACAAAGUUGGGUAAGAAAGUUACUACUUGUGCUUUUCUUGGUUAUGCUUCAAAUAGUACAGCCCAUAGAUUUUUUAAUCUUGAAGAUAAAAUUGUGAUAGAAUCGGGUGAUGCUAUUUUUCAUGAGAAUAAAUUUCCUUUUGAUUCUAAAAAUAGUGGGGGUCAAAAGAUUGAACAAAAUAUUUUGUCACUACCUAGUUCUUCUACUUCUACUUUAAAAAAAUAAAGAAAUUGAUGAUUUUGAGUUAAGAAGAAGCAAAAGAGCUAGAGUAGAAAAAGAUUUUGGUCCUGAUUUUUAUGUGUUUAAUGUUGGAGAUGACCCUCUCACUUUGAAAGAAACAUUAUCUUCACAUGAUUCUAUAUUUUGGAAAGAGGCUGUAAAUGAUGAAAUGGAAUCACUAAUUUCUAAUAAAACUUGGAAACUAGUUGAUUUACCACCGGGUUGUAAAAUUAUUGGUUGUAUAUGGAUCAACCCGAGUCUUUUGUUGAAGCAGGUCAAGCAAGCAAAGUAUGUAAACUUACUAAAUCCCUAUAUGGCUUGAAACAGGCACCUAAGCAAUGGCAUGAAAAGCUUGAUUCUUGCAUGAUUGAAAAUGGUUUUAAAACAAAUGAGUGUGAUAAGUGCAUAUAUCAUAAGUCUUGGAAUAAUUCACAUGUGAUUAUUUAUCUUAUAUGUUGANNNNNNNNNNNNNNNNNNNNNNNNNNNNNNNNNNNNNNNNNNNNNNNNNNNNNNNNNNNNNNNNNNNNNNNNNNNNNNNNNNNNNNNNNNNNNNNNNNNNNNNNNNNNAAUAUUCUUAGAAGUCAUUUUGAUAUGAAAGAUCUUGGUGAGGCAAAUUUUAUUCUUGGAAUAAAAAUAACAAGAACAUGUGAUGGAAUUUUCCUUGACCAGUCACAUUAUGUUGAGAAAAUAUUGAAAAAAUAUAAUUUUCUUGAUUGCAAGCAUGUUGCAACUCCUUUUGAUUCAAGUGUUCACUUAUUUCCUGUUGAAAGUGAAAAUGAUGUAAUAAAUCAAAAGGAAUAUGCUAACAUAAUCGGAAGUCUGAGAUAUGUGACUGAUUGUACUAGGCCUAAUAUUGCAUAUGCAUACUGAGUACUUGGCAGGUUUACAAGCAAGCCAGGUAAUGAACAUUGGCAUGCUAUAACAAAAGUGAUGAGAUAUUUAAUUGGAACAAAAAUUGUGGUUUGUUCUAUAAAAAUAUCCUGUUGUACUUGAAGGCUUUUGUGAUGCAGAUUGGAACACUUUAUCAGGUGAUUCCUGUUCUACCACUGGUUAUGUCUUUACUUUAGAUGAUGGUGCUGUUUGUUGGAGAUCAAAAAAGCAAACUAUUAUUGCUAACUCUACCAUGGAGGCUGAACUAAUUGCUUUAGCUUCAGCUAGUGAGGAACCGAAUUAGUUAAGAGAUUUGUUAUUUCAAAUACCUUAUUUUGAAAAACCAAUUCCUCCUAUUUUAAUUCAUUGUGAUAACACUGCUGCAAUUGGUAGAGUUCAAAACCGUUAUUACAACGGUAAAUCCAGACCUAUAAGGAGGAAACACAGUAAUAUAAGAUCAUAUUUGACAAGUGGUACCAUUAAUGUUGAUUAUGUCAAAUCUUGUGAUAAUCUUGCAAAUCUUUUAACUAAGGCCUUAACAAGAGAAAAGGUCUGGAGCACAUCGAGGGGAGUGGGAUUGAAGCCAGUGGCGGAGGGAGGAUUUUCAUCAAGGGGGUUCAAAAAAAAUUAAUCAUGUAAAUAAUAUCCACAAAUAAACGGAUCGGAUUAAACUGCCAAAUCAAGAAGAAAAGGGGUUUUUAAUAUUUGACUUUAUAAUUAGGGAUUAAACUAAUAAAUCCUAAAUUCCCAACCCUUCAUAUGAUGUAAGUGCAUUGUUUCCUGUAGUUUGUGAAGGUUGAGUUGAUAAAACUCUUAAUGAAUAUUUGUAGCCCGUAUGGGUGGAGUGUUAAGCUUACAGGAGCACUCUCGACAGAUUUCACACUUGUGAUGUGUGGAAGUAGGUCGCUUCCUAUGAGAAUUGGGCUUAUUCUCAAAAGCACUCAUGAAAUCGGGAUAGCACAUGGCCAUAACGUGCUGGCUUUAAAGCUCAUGUCUAACACCUUUGAUUAUUAUGUGUGGACAGUGAUAUUUAUUUUCCUCAAGCAGUCAUAGUUCAAGUCUGAGACCACUACGACUCUGGAGUAAAAGUUACUGUUUCACUAAGUGGAGGUUCAAUACAGAGCACACCUUCAUUAUGCAUGGUAGUCUCCUUCAGCUGAUAUACUCUCUUGUCUAAUAUUUAAAUGAGUGGGGAUUGUUGGUGUGACCAUUUUAAUAUUAUACAAAUUGUUACAUAUUCACAUUGCCAAUGCCACACUAAGUCUUUGCUGAAAUGUAUGACAUUUGUGCCUAAUUACUCAUGGUCAAUUAAUGACCAGAGGCAUAAGGCAUAUUGCUUUCUGAACGUUGGCAAUGGAACGUUGGCAUUUGCACGUUAGUGCAUUUGUUGCCCUCAACUUUAUUUCAUUAUUUACUCCUCCAUUAAUCUUGUAACCUAUGUAACUCCUAAGACCAUUAUCUUCACUAUUUACUACACCAUUAUCUUCCUAUUCAUUGCUAGGAAGACUUCUUGUACUAUAAAUAGUGGUGGUCUUCAUUUGGUUUGUGACACACAACAUAUAAGAUAAAUAUAGAGUGAAAGAGUUAGUCUCUUCUUAUUAGUUGAAGGGAAGUGUUUUUUUUGUGGAGCUUUGGACUCAACUCUUGUCCAGAGUUAUUGAGUUAUAUUUUGUGAUUAGGUUGUUGUAUCCUGGAGGGGACAAGUCAAGAAGGAUUACUGCUGGACCGGUGAAAACAUUUGCUGCAAUGGGCUUGAAUCUCAUUAAAGAGAGCGAGAUAUCCACAGCUCAGCCUGAAGAGAUUUAUUUCUUCAUUUUUAUUUUCAAUUGUAAUUUUGUAUUUUUUAUUAUCUUGUAAGUUUUUCACUAACACAUUUUCUCUAACAUCAUAUCUUUGUAAUUUACUCCCAUACAUGAUAAACAUUGAUUGAUUUUGUUGAAACUGAAAGUAAAAUUUGGAGGAAAAAAUGACAACAGAAACAUCUUCAAAUUACAAACUGAUAAACAAAAUGAAAACAAAGAUGAAUGACAAUUCAAAAGGACAACAACCAAUUGGCUUCACCAGAUUAUAAUGAUAUUAGCUUAGCUCCUAUACAUACCUCUACAAUGUUACAGAAUUUUUUUUUCUAGACAGAAUCAACUUCUGAACCCAAAGGCAGACCAUUUCUUUGAUGAAGUCUCCUUCUUCGUCGUCCUUUUAGAGGUUGGAUCAAUAAGAUUUUCUAAGGAUUUCGGAUUUUUGUUCCGAGAUCUGCCUGCUUCUUUCAAUAAUUCAGCCAGCCUCUUUUUCUCAUCGUUGAAAUCAGGAUUUGCUGUUCCAAGUUUUUCCUCUCUCAGUUUAAGAACGUACUCUAGAAUCUCAAUAGCAUCAUCCACUCUGUAUGUUACAUAACAUGUCAGAACAACCUUAACAUAAAAAAUACGCUUUGAAAGGUAUAUAGAGGCCACCAAACCAGUAAUGGCUUUUCUCUAAUGACGAUAGAGAGGUCAUUUUCAUUAGUGGAAUAAAAGUAGAGCAACAUAUCGGUCUAUCCUACCACAAAUGUAACCUCUAAGCACUCAAUGCAUAUGGAUUUGGUACAUGGGCAUGACAGUUCAUAAUGUAUAAUAAACCACAAAAUAAAUGUAAGAUACUUGUGAUAUAUUGCUACUUCAAUCCUUACUCUAACAAGUUGGCAUUGCCUAUACCGGUUCUUUGUUUCAUCUAGAGAUGUAAAAGAAAAUGCUCAAAUAUUAAUAUUACCUUCCAAUAGCAUCAUAAGUGGCGGCAAGAUUGCUAUAAACACCAAGGGUAUCUUGAUGACAAUGGCCACACUCCUGUUCCAGAAUUUCUCUAGCUUCUUCGAAUAACUCAGCAGCCUCAUCUAUUUUAAACAAUUGUACAGAAGACAACCCCAUCUGAUUUAAAACAACUCCAAAGAAAGCUGAUUUCCUCUCACCACUGGCUCUAAGUUUUGUUACUGCAUUUUCAAAGGAACUCCGUGCCUCUUCAUAUCUCCCGACCAUAUAAAACAUAACACCCAUCCGUGCUUCUAUGCCAGCAAUGGUACUUUGCUGUCCUGGUUUAUCCUCUAAGAGUUUCAUUGCCUUGAGCAGCAGUUUCAGGGCCUCCUCAGGUUCAUUAAAUAACUCAUAUAUUGCUGAAAUUUCCAUCAAUCCACUGGCAAUAUCUUCGGGGGUUGUUCCAGGUACAGGUUUUGCAUAUAUUCUGAGGGCAUUCUCACAAUAGGAUCUGGAUUCCCUCAGUUUUCCUGUCUUGUAGUAUAGGUCAGCCAGCCUUACAUAGACAGAUGCAACUGAAGGAUGGUUGUCACCCUUAGAUGAUUUGAAAACAGUGAGUGCUUUCUGAUAGGAGAAGACGGCCUCAUCAAAACGAGACAAUGACAAGUAGAUGUUCCCUAUUCCAACAUCAAUAGUUGCGACCUCAGUUUCCUGUCCAUUGGCAAUCAUAGCCAUGUUGGCAAGUACAAGGUGCUCAAGGGCUAACUCAUAAUCGCCUUUAGCCUCACAUAUUAGAGCCAUCAAACGACGAUCAGCUGCCUCUUCAAGAGAAGCUGGAGGACUGUGCACACGAUGGAUUUCCAGUGUUUUCUUGCACAAACUCUCGGCCUCAUCAAACUGCAUUGCCUGAACAUGGGCCUCAGCCAAGUACCUACAAUUCCAGUUUAGCUGUGUCAGAAUAAUUAUAGCCAAGAAAACACAUCGCCAUCUUGAAAUCAAAUGAUUAUCAAAGGCUUAUUGACCUCAAUCAGAAGCAUCUGUUAACUAAGUUUUACAAUGAGUUAGUUCAUCUGCCUUGCAGUAAAAUGUUUUUGUCUAUCCAAUUUCUUCAUCCAAUUCGAUUAUUGCGAAAUACGAGCUACAAUAUUUGGAAAUAUACAAGUAACAAUAGGUUUAUCCCGUCUUCAAAUGCCAGAACCACUUCUACAGAUAAACAUAUAACAUAAGAACUAAAACACUAAAAAUGCAAAAUUUGCGAAGACUUCAAAUGCUAGGAGCAAUGAGAUAAGAUACAUUACCUACAAGUCUCUGCGACUCUAGGAUCUGUGUCUCCCAAUGCUUCCAUCUGUGUUUUCAACCCUUCCUUGUAAGACUCGAUCGACCGAUCCAACUGUCCUAGCAUAGAAUACGUAUCACCAAGCUGCAUAUACCCUGAGAAGGCCGCAAGAGCAUGAUCCGCACCUCUUGAAACCUCCGGCACCUUAAUCGCCGUUUCUAGCACCGGAAUAGCCUCAUCAAAUCUCACCAAACUACAAUAUAUAGCUGCCACAACGUGCAGACUCAUAGCUAGAUCCAAACUCGGCUCACCGUCAACCGCGCACCUCUCAAACGACUUCGCAGCUCGUAAAGCAUAGUCUAGUGCUUUGUUCGGUCCUUCGCCGGAGGCAAUGGUGUCACGCGCUAGCUUUAACAGGAACGGUCCUAGAUCCGGAUUGUCAAGAGAUGACUCGUCGAUUUCAACCUUCUCCGGCGAGGAUUUCUUCUUUCCGGAGCUCCGAUCCGGAGAUGGCUUCGCCCGUGAAGUUGACGGUGAUGGAGGUCGUCGUGGCGCAGGUGAGUUUGUUUUCGGGUUAACUUGUUCGGAUCUACUAGAACCCGGCCCGUUUCGGCCGUGGUUCUCAUCGGAAAUUGAUAUUCUCAAUGCCGGAGUUUCCGGCGGAGUUUUGAUUGAAACUAAACCCGGCAUUGCAACAGCUCGAAAAUGCAAAAAAAUGAAAAUCACACUCUUUGCUUAAGAAGUUAAUUAAUCUAAAUUUGGCAGACUAUAAUAUGUUGUAUUAAGCAGUGAUUUUGUGAUUAGUGAAUAGUGAAGAGGUAAUUAGUAGGAUAAUUAAGGAGAGAAAAUGAAAUUUAGCUAACGUAAACCAACUGUUAAGAAAAUUAAAACAUUGAGGUGAGGGAGAAGGCAAAGACUUUGAGUGGACUUAAUACUGAAAAAAUAUUAGGCCAGCUCAGAUUUGUGCCGUUGUAAAGUGGGCCCAAUUUUGAUUACGUGGAUUCAAUCUGCGCUGGAAGGUAUCAUUUUUUAUUUGAGGAAUUUUCAUAAAUAUUUAGCUUAAUUAUCCAAAACGGAUAUAUAUAUCAAAUCCAUAAAUAUAUGUAAUAUGUUAGGUACAUUGUAGAUAUAAUCCUCUUUUGACGUAGUUAGUUAAUAUAUAUAUUUUUAAUUAUCAUUUAAUCAAAGACAAAUUGGUAUAAUUUUGGUGUAAAUUUGUAUCUAUCUUGUACAAAUGUAUCAUUUAAUCAAAGUUAAAAUACUUAUUUGCAUCAAACUAACUAAUUUAAGUUAAACAUUUUGAAAUUAAAGUGAGAAUAAAUGUAUGUGUGUAAGAUAGUUAUUUUGUAUAUUUAUUAGUCUGAUGUAAAGACCAAAGAAAUAAGUUUUUAUGGAUCCCAAAUAUAAUGCGUGUAAAUUAGAUAUUAUUUUAAUUAAUAUUAUAAGAAUACUUUAUGGUUUCAAUUUUUUUUUUUUAAACUAAUAAUUGUAUCUUUAAAUAUAAUAAAAUAAAUAAUUGACGAGCAUAGUUUGGUGAAAGUAUUAUUGUAGGUUGUUACAUGGCAUAAUGUUGUCUUAAAUCAUAUAGUCGUUCCAUGAUUAGUAUGAUUAGACAAGUUUUAGCUUAUGACUUUGAGUGAAACAAAUGCAAGCUAUUGCAAUAGUUGGGUUUUGAUAUAUUUAUAUAGAUAAGACGGUUAUCAAUAAAGAUUACGAUAAAAUGAUAAAUAGUUUUUAGUUCUUAAAUUAUAAUUGUAAAAUUGUCUUUCUAUAGAACAUUUAUUCUAAUAUAAGAUAUUUUAGUUCAAUAUAUAUUUAAUCAGAUUCUAAUGAAACUUAUAUAUAUAAAUAUCAGGUGGAAAAAAAAACAGAUUAGACGCAUAUGAAAGAUAGAUGAGAUAUUUGUCCAAAGCAACUUUGGAUUUUUGGAUUACUUUGGACACACUCACAAUUAUGAGUAUCAUUUGAGAUUCUAUAGAAACUAUAGGAUAUAAUUAGGUUACUUUUAUUGGAAUUAAAUAACUUAAGAUACCAUUCUCACUGUCUUUUCUCUCUACAGGCAUGUGCUGGAUCAUAAUGAUUUCUUUCAAUUUGUUGAAGAUUUUAGUUGAUAAAAAAAAUUAAGAGUUGCAACAACAAUAUGCUAAUUAACCAUUAUAUUUUUGUUCUUUUUUUCACAUACGUCGAGGUUAAAUAUAUUAAUGAAAUUUUGAAUUAAUGAAAGUACCAUUUCACAAAUUUUCAGUAAUUAUAUUAGUAGUUAAAGUUAUAUAUAAUGUAUUAACUUAACUUACAAACAAAUAUUUUAAAAUAUCACAAGGUGUGAAUUUUUUUGAUUUUUUUUUCUGUAUGUUUAACUUAGUAUAUUUUGAAUUAUUUUAGUGAAAAAAUUGAUUUCAUCACGAGAACAAUUAGGAAGUCAUUUGAUAGAUAAUAAAAAGACAACUUAUAGAAUAUAUGUCGAACAUUUAUUUAGAAGCACAGUCAAUUAAGAUCAGGAGCGCAUCGCUAGUAAAUAUUCGUUGGCAUCUCUUUUUUGGGGAUGGGCGUAAAUGAUGAUGGACCUUAAUUAGUUGCCAAUUUUUGGGCCAACAAGUUGAUAGCAACCUCAUUCUCAUGCAAUUUAAAAGUUUUCGUCUUAAAUGUUAGGUUCCACUAUCUCUUGUAUUUGAAAACACUAUGGCUUUUAAUUUUACGCAUCGAUACUUUGAAUUUUGAAAUAACUUUAGAUAUAUAGUGACUUUAAAUUUUGUCACAUAUGAUUGAACUAGAGGACAUGUAACUUCACACGCCAUAAAUCUAAAAUUGCUCCGAAGUAAAUAGACGUACAUUUUUACACACUACGAAUAUGACUUAAGCGAUGGUCCCAAAAUGGAUAUAGGUGAAUGAGAAUUUUAUUUAAAAGACAUGUACUUAUAAAGUUGAAAUUGAAAGUUAUAUAUGAGUGUGGUUACACUGGCAUACUGCAUCUGCCUUAUUAGCUGUCUGCAUUUAGUUUACAAAUGUUAUGGUGCGUGGCUCCUAUGCCACCACAAAAAAAUUGAUUGAAUUAAAAUAUAGAUUUAUGCCAUUUUCUGAACCUUUUUGUAUGAUGUGAUGUUAUUCAAAUAUUACCAAACAAACAUUAAUUCAUCCUAAUUUAACAGUUUGUUUGAAGGGGAAAUAAAAUAGUUUCUAAAAGUUUUUUUUAUUUGAAAAAACAUGAGACAGUACUAGAAAGGAUAUAUAAGAGCAUGACUUGUGUCAUUUUUAUAAGGUUAAUCACUUAAUUAUAAGGACAAAAUAUAAAAAGACAUUCAAACUUGGCCUCAGAUAUCAUGAAAAUACCCUAACUUUGAGUAUGCACGUCUAGACUUCUUAACUCGUCUUCAUUGUGUCAGUUUAAAACUCCAACUACAAAAUUAUUAUCUAGACAUUUUAAAAUUAUGUGCCACAUUAGCAUUGGAUAUCCACUAGACAACAUAGAGACAAGUUAAAGUAUUUAUUAUCAAUUAAGAUCAAAUUAAAAUAUCUAAAUAUGUACUUUCAAUCGAGAUGUGUAGUAAAAUUUCUUACAUUUACUAUGAAUAUAAUCUAAAAACUCAUGGUUCUCUUUCUCCUUUUCUCUGGUUAUUCCUCUCUCUCCUCUAUUGUGGAAAUUCACAAAAAAUUUAUGUAUAUAUAUAUAUAUAUUUUGUUUCUCAUUUGAUGUUUUGAGUCCAUAUUAGAGUUUCGAUUAAAUUUAGAUCGCACACUGCAGGAUCUAUUCGGUGACACUUCCAACAAAAUUUUCUCCAUAUCUAGAGUUCGAACUCGAAACCUCUAAUAAGAGUGUAGUAAUUCUACCACUGCACCUCAAUCUAAUCUAUGUUGGUUAUGUAUAUGCCUUCAAUGUGCCUCAAGCAACUUGAAAGUACACACCUAAAGUGUCAAAACUAAUAAAUAAGGUUGUUCCCCAGUCCUUAUUAAAGGCUGCCCAACAACUUGAAAUUCACCACUUGCACUAAUAAAAAGAAAUACUGGUAAAGAUUUGAAUGGUCACAAACCAAUAUAUGAUCCAGAAAUUUCUUGAAAGGGUCAUAACUAGUUAAUAUUAAUAUAUAUAUAUAUAUACGAAUAUUCUUCUAGAAAGGAAUUUCCCUUAAUUCUUUGUUGAGUCUAUUAAAUGUUCAAUUCAAUAACUAGGAUACUUUUUUUUUAAUAACUAGGAUACACUUUUUGUUUGAGUGAACCUCAAAUUAAAUUAUUGUACGUUACUUCAUUUGGAUGUACAAAACAAAAUAAUUAUAAGGGGAACUUUUAAAUUAUCAUUAAAAUUCAAUCAUCGAUAAAUAAAUAUAUAUAUAUAUAUAUAUAUAUAUAUGAUAAAAAUAAAAUUACUAACUAGAAGUUAGAUAAAAAGUACUAAAUUAAUCAAAAUAUUGACUCUUGAUCGAACACGAAUAAUGUCACAGAAAAGUGGAACAUCCCAUAUAUUUUUACAAUGAACACAAAAAUAGAAGUAAAAGAUUUUGAACACUAAAUACUUGCACUAGACUAUACUACAUUAACAUUGGAUCAUCUUGAUAACAUUUUUCAGAAAUAAGUUGAAGAUAUUCUUCAUAAACCUUCUCCAACAUGCUUUCAUUUGAAAGAUCACAAAAUCCAUCUAGUAGUACUUCAUCAAAUAACAAAUUUGAAGCACAAGGAAUAAAUGAAACCUCUUUAAUUUUACCCUCAACAUUCUCAUCAUCAUUGGUAAUAACAUUAAUCUUCUUGUUGUUAUUAUCACCUUCUUCAUAACUAUCUGAGGGUGAAGCUAUGUUGCUCGGGCUCUUCAAAAAUGCAGACAGGUGUAUGUCAGAUCCUUUAGAAAUAGUGCAUUUUUUAAGGACCUGACACGUUUGAGGCAACAUUUUAAGUGAGUUGGAACAACAUAAGGAUGAAUUGCUCAAUAAUGCAACAUUUUCAAUACUAGAAUUCCUUAUAAGUUCAGAGGAAAGUCUAAUUGGCUUUGGGACAAACACAACUUGAGGAGUGUCUAAAGAUUGGUCUUUUUUCUUGUUAUUUUUCUUCAUUUUGUCUUGUUUUUUUCUUGGAUUUUCUGUUUUGGGCUUUUUCUUGGGAUCUUUUUUGGGGGAAACUUUGUGCACUUUGUGGAGUUUGGGCUGAAUUCCAGCAAUUUUGAGCUUCUUGAUUACAUGAGUGUUCCAGUAAUUCUUGAUUUCAUUAUCUGUUCGACCUGGUAAUCGACCAGCUAUGAGUGACCAACGAUUGCCCAAAAGGGAAUGGAGCCUUAUUAUAAGAUCUUCUUCAUCUUGGCUAAAAUUUCCUCUCUUGAUUCCUGGCCUUAGAUAAUUCAUCCAUCUUAGCCUACAACUCUUUCCGCAUCUAAGUAGCCCUGAAAAAUUCAACUCGAUAUUAAUUAUACAAAAAUAUCACAAGUAGGGGAGGAGCUACAUGUCGUUCGGCAUAACUUAGUAGCUUUGGACAGAUAUUAUAUUUGUGUUAGAGCACAAUAAAUUAUCUUUACUAGAAUUUAAAAUUCAUAAAUUUAAAAUUUUUGUGUUUGAUUGGUGGCAUGAGUAGAAACAAAAAUACUUUUUGAAAAAAAAAUUAAUAUAUUAAAAGGUAAAUAUAAUAUUAGCAAAUUGGAGAGUGUUACAACUAAAUUUUAGAGUGAUAUAAUAAUAAUAAUAAUAAUAAGUGUUAAUCGCAAUAAAUAUUAUGAAGUUAAAUAAAGAAAGUCAUUUUUCUUAUUUUGAUAAAUAAAAAAAUCAAACGCUAAAAAAAAUGACAAACAUUAACCAAUAUUCUUAACAAUGUGAAUUUUUUUUAUAAAGUGUAUGAGCUUUGACCAAAAGUCAAUAAUAUUCCCAUAUUAUGAGUAUUUAAGAGCCAAACAAGAUUCUAGAAACUAACUAACACACAUAAAAACAUAAAAUGUGAAAGAUAUUAUUCGAACUCUUUAAGAUUAUCAACAAAUACGUCUCAAAUUUUUUAAAAAUAAUACAUUUCUGAAAAUCCAACACAAAUACAAUAAUAUUUUUAAAGUGUCUAACCAACGUAAAUUUCGAAGUGCAAAGGCAUACCAGCUUUAUUGGGCAAGUUUCUCCAUUGGCCUUCACCAUUUUCCUUAAUAUAAUUUGCAAGUAAUAAGUCUUCUUUUGUAGACCAUGGACCUUUACGAAGCCCCUCUUUAGCACAACAUGGAGCUCUCCCCAUUUCUUUUUGCUCACUAUAUAAGUAUAUUAUAUACUUUUAUUUGGACAAAAAUAAAAUAGAACUUCUCAAUAUAUAUAAUGAGAUAAGAAAUACCUAGAGACAAAAAGUGUAGACUUAAAAACGAUAGACAUUUAAUGCAUUUAUUUAGUUUUUUUUUCUUUAAAAUAAUUUAAAUGCAAGGAGUAUUAGUGGUCUUCUUUGCUCCGCAUGCUACUAAAAAUAAAUAAAUUGUAGUUGAGAUGGUCGGUUCAUCUAAACUCAGUACUUUCGAUAUAAAAUAAAAAUUUACUGAAAUUUUGUUAAAUAUUAGAUUAGAACUUAUACAUAUACCAAAAUAAUGAACUGCAUAUGAUAACACUUAAAAUUAAAUUUAAAUUCUGAAUUCGAUUCUGAUCGAUGUAUGAGAAAAAAUAUAUGAAAGAUGAAGAAAACGCCACAAAGGUUGUAGUAAAUUAAAGUCGUGCCCUUUUAGAAGCCACGAGAUCCACUUCAGGCACAUUAAAUACUGAUGGGACAAAUAGAGACAAUAUUAUGAAGUUGUUCUUUGCUACUAUAUACUAUUAGUUGGAAAUAUUAAGACCUAGAAUAUUUCAUUCAUAUAUAUAACGUUUGAGCUAACUACGACAUUUCAUCUAACUUCAUAACAUAUUUGAUUUUAUCUCUUAACGAUAUGAGUAUCGGAUGAAUUUGCGUAUAUUAUGACUAUUUAAUUUAACAGUGUGUUCGUUAUAUAUAAUAAGUAUAGAUAUUGAGUAAUUAUGUUUUGUUAUUUUCUAAUAUCACAAUUAUAAGAUCAACUUGCACAUACAAAUAUUAAAUCAAUUUAUAUAUAUUUCGACUAAUUUUAUGAAAUAUUUUUUUACCUCUUAUAAGUGGAUAUCAAAUUACUUAUUUGGGACCCCUCAUUAUUAUUUCUUGUUUGUAGUAUUCAUUUAUUCCUUUUGUCACAGAGGCAAAUGAUCACAGGGAAGUGAUUAAAUCUAAUGAAAGAAUUAAUAGAUAAUAAUACCUCUUUACCACUUGCAUCAUUUGGGCAAGGACUUUAUACUCCCUUCGUUCUUCUUUAGUUGUCAUGAUUUCUUUUUAGAGUCAAACAAUUAAAAAAAUUGAUUAACAUUUUACGAUAUAUAUUUUAUCAUAUUAAUAUGCAAAAAGUUGUAAUUUAUAAUAUUUUUCGUAUAGUUUUUAAAUAUUUAAAUUUUAGUUUAAAUAUCAAAUUAAUGUAAUCUAAUUUAACUUUAAAAAUUAGUUAAAUUGACUUUUGAAAAACGCAACAUGAUAACUAAAAAGGAACAGAGGGAGUAGUGAUAUUUCUCUUCUGAUUUGAAGUUCUUUUUCUAAAAUGUUUUAUUUAUCGUACUGUCCGUCCAUCCACGACCACCAAAAAAAAAGGGAAAAACAAAAAAGUAUACAUCAAUAUUGUAAUGUUUUUUUUUCUUUUUUUAUAUCACUUUAUUUUAAGAAAAUUAUCAUUUUUACCAAGUUUUCAAUUGUAUUUUAGUACAAAGUAGUCAUAAAUAAAAAUUAAUAUAUAGAGCAAAGUGUUGAUCAGUUAAAAAUGUUCAUAUAAAAAAAUAAAAAUGCUCAGAUAAAUGUGUAGACAUAUUAUAUUAUCGAAUAGAUAUAAUUAAGAAUAAUGGUAUAUAUAUAUAUUUUUUUUACUAUAUAAGAAGAGCGAAUAAGCACACUCUUCUCUGUCAACACGUGUGCUUACGUGAAAAUACACUCAAUUUAAGGGUUAUUUUUGUCAUUCUAUGUUUUACUUUACAUAAGUGUUGAGUACCUCAAUACCACGAAAUCAGUUAAUAGCCUCCACGUGGGCCGGACGAUGAAGGUACUUGCGUAAAUAAAUCAAAAUAGAGGGUUGCUUUAUGGUAUUUCGUACUUUUCAAACUUGAAAAAUGAUUGUACUUGCCUGCUUCAUAAAUGUACUUCCUUUUUGUUGGACACAAAAACCAUUUGCUUUUUUCCUCUUUUACGGCUUUAAUUGUGUGGGCCCUAUUAUUACUUUUGUACACCAUUUCAUUUUUCCUUGCAUUAUUCUUAUAUUUUAUUAUUUCCAGUUUCUAUCCUCCAGGGAUCUUUGAAUAUUAUUUAUUAAUUAAUUCAUUCAUUAAUAAAGUAUUUGUAUUGUUUCUUCCAUUUUAAUUGUUUCAUCUAUUUUUUUUUGCACGAAGUGUUAAAUAUGAAGAAUAUUUUUAAAUUUUGUAAUCUUAAAUUUAAAAUAUAUCACAUAUAUUAAAGUAAAAAGUAUUUCUAAUUUUAUAAUCAUAGAUACGCUAUGUAAAAAAAUUAAAAUUAAGAAGUAAUUUUCUUUUUAAGUGAAAUAAAAAAAUAGUUCAAAUAAAUUGAUACGGAAGGAGUCAUAUUUAAAAAAUAGAAUAAAUAUGUGAUAUUAUUAGAAAGAGCUUUAAUAUAUAUCUUAAACAUUAUUUUGUCUUCCGUAUAUUAUUUUGUGCAUAUAUGUGGAGUUCUAAAGUUUUUAACAUUUUAAUAUAGAAAUAUGAUUAUUUGAAAAUUUUAGUACUUUCUUCAUUUAAAAAUUUCUUUGUUUUUCUUUUAAUUUGUUCUAUAUUUAAAAAUUACAUAAAAAGUACUGAAAAUCACAAUGUAAUAAUAUAAGAUAUUAAAAAAAACAUAAUUAAAAAUCAUAAAAGAAAUUUUAUUGACUCUUUAAUUCCAUAUUGAAACAAAAGAAGUUUGUUUGAAAAUAACAUAAAAAGUAACGUAAAUUAAAGUAAAAUAACAACUAAAAAUAUUGAAGAAUCAUAUAAGAAAUUUAGUUGACUUUCGUAAAAGUACCUACGUCACAUAAAAUGGAACAGAAAGAGUAAUAUAUAUUAUUUGAAAAUGAUAUAAGAAGUGCUAUAAAUCACAAUAAAUUAACAACUUCAAAAUAUAUUUAACAAAAUCACAUACAAAAAAUUAUAUAACUCUCCAAAAUUUCAAUCGGUGUCACAUAAAUUGAAACAAAGAACUACUUCCAAUUUAUGUGACUUACUUUCCUUUUUAGUCAAUCCCAAAAGAAUGUCACAUUUCUAUAUUAAGUAACAAUUUGAUUAUAAAAUAUUUAUUUUACCCUUAAUGAAAUAAUUUACAGUCAUACAAAUUAUAUAAUUCAUUUUGGACCACAAGUUUUAAAAGUCUUCAUUUCUUUCUUAAACUUCGUGGCGAAUCAAACUACCUCACAUAAAAUGAGACGGAGAAAGUAAUAUAUAUUAGGCCCGCACUGGCGCGAGAACCUAAUAUCUAGUAUAUAUAUACGAAGCAAGAUGGAAAUGACUUUAAUUUGAUGAAGGAUAAAAUAAGAAAUGAAAUUAAUAAAAUGCUAGUAGAAUUAUUUUUUAUCAUCUUUUUUAAUCAAACUUUAUGAGGCUACCUACUUAUAUUUAUUUGCUGCUAUUGAUAAGCUUGCAGUCUGGUUAUAUCAUUUGCUCAGAAAAUUUGGAAGGGUGCUGCAAUUGACUUUUCCACGUGUCUGAUUAUAAUUUGCUGAGAAAUUUUAUUGUCUGAAAUAUUAUGUCAGAAAAGAAGAAUUUAAAAAUAAGAAAGGUGAGUCAAAAUAUUUUUGAAAAAAUACAUGAAAAGGUUGAAAAGAUUCUAACAUAUAUUAUAUCAUACAUAAAAAUGACGAGGGCGUUGUGAAAUUAUUGAGAUCUCUAUUACAUAUUUUUGGUACAUAACGUGAAAAUGAAAAAAAAAAUUAUGAGGGAGCAAUUUUUACCUCGGUGGAUUUGUUAAGCAUAAAUUCAAAUUAAUUAAAUCGAUGAAUCUCGAUCCGUCAAAUCGAAAAAGAAAAAAUAAGAGUAAAGUUUAAGUUCCACAUUUCCUCUUUGAUCAUGGUCAUAUCAUAUUUGACAAUUCUAGGACCCACAAGACUGACAAAUCAUAUUAUGUGGAGUAAAUUUGACCUCUUAAUUAAGCCAAAGUAGAAUAAUUCAAAUUGAUAGGGUGGUCAACAAUUAUAUGGUCGUUUAAUUUUAUCCCAUCGAUAAGAUAUCUUUGCUUACCUCAUAAGAAUCGUUUGUUCACGUUAUAUACUAUUUAUGCGGUGAAUAAUAAUAUAAAUUUGUUAUAUUGUGAAAAAUAUUAUAGCCAUAGUUGCAUACAAUUACCUUUACAAUUAUUCAAAUAUCGUUUACACUGUCAAUGUAUUAAAUUUACACUUAUUCAAGAAAGGUAUAAUACAUAAAUAUACUUGGAUUCAACUGACAUGUAUGUUCUCUAACUUUGAGUGUGCACAAGUAAACACUUAAACUUGUAUAAAAAUUGAACAAGUAAACACACACAUCACAAAUUGUCAUGUAGGACGAAUGUAUCCAUUUGUUCAAUUUCAUACAAGUUUAAGUGUCUAUCCAAAGUUAAAGGGCCCGUUUAUGUGUUAUGUCUUCGGAAAUAAGCUUCAAAAUUUCACUCUUCUAACUUACAAUAAAUAUCACAAUUUACAGCUCAAAUUCAAAAGACUAGAACUGAACAAAUGAAUAAUGAUAUUUGUACUAUGAUUUUCAUAUAUGUGAAUAAUAAUUACAUAUAUAGACUAGUAUAUGCUCAAGGCACAAAAUGUACUAUAACCUAUUGGAUAUCAUAUUUUCUUUGUGUUGAAACAUUUUUUGGUGACAGAGCCAAGAAUUGAUAUAAAUUUACAAGCAAGAGAGAAAGGAAAAAAUCUCAGGCUUUUGUCUGUGGCAGAAUUCGAAAUUGCCUAAUCCAGGCAUUAGGCGUUGCGCUCUUACCACUAGACUGAAGAUCCCCGGGGGGAGAAAGAAUCUCAGAAACGAAUUGGCAAUCCGUGGUUGAGGAAUGUUCUAAUGCAUCCAUCCAAUCCUGCGGUGACAACCACGAGACCCCACAAAUGACUUGAACUCAAUGCACUUUGCCAGGCACUCUUCAAGAUCUUGUAUUCGGAUUUACAUAUAGAAGGGGAGACAGUUGCAGGAGGACUUGAGUCGGGUAGUUUCUCCUCUGGCCACGUUGCAGAGCUCUUUAGUAGAGAAUCUAAGAAAGACGCACGUCCCAAGGAGAAGCAAUCUUGUAAAGAUGAAGUCUUUGAGCAUGAGUUCUCGUUGACAUCACCGUUUGCUAAAACAUUUCCUGGUAGUGUUGUCACUGGGUUGGUUUUAAAGCCAGACCAAGGUAUGGCAACUGAUGCAUUUUGGGAAAAGAAACUCUCAGAUGAACGGACUUUCUUUGGUUGGCUAGUCACCCCGUCCUCAUGACUAUAGUUCCAGAUAUAAACAUUUGAAUCCUCAGUGACUGCGAGAAUGUGUUUCCCAUCCGAUGUGAAUGAUGCAGGACAUUGGCUAUCCAAAUUUUUAGUUCCUGGACAUGCAGCAGAGACAACAGAGUCAGAAAAUCUACUCAAAAACGUCUUUUGUCAGAACUUGGUGGGGGACGGGGAGGUAGAGGGUACGCAACCAACACACCUUUGAAUUUGCAGAUGAUGUUGGAUCCACAAAGUAUUCUAACUUGGGAAUCAGCAGAAGUAACCAUGACUUUGCUCGAGUCAUUCGGGCAGUACUGCAUGAUCAAAGUCUACGUCAGUUCUCAAGAGGGGGAUAUAAUCAGUACGAGAAACCAUUCUUGUGAAAAGUAAGGAAACGAAAACAAACGGUUACCUGAAAUCCAGUUACUCUCUUGUUAGUAAGCUUCUUUUUUCCUUGCAGGCAUACCUGAAGGCCCAUUUGCAAACGAUUACCUAACACACAGAAAUGAUAGUCCAUUAAUGCGAAUUGUCUGAUAGAGUAGAAUGAAACAAGAUAAGUACUCCAUAAUAUAUCAGAGUAAAAACGCCGAGUGAUGGAAACUCAGUUGCACAAACAGUUCACUUAAAUAUAAAUGCAUUUGAAGACAACUCAAAACAGAUGGAGAACACAACUCCCUCCCCUCCAUUUUUCCCUUCUCUUGCAUAGCAAUAUUGCACUCACAAAAUACAAUUUUAUAGUACCAUUCCAGUGGUUAACUUCCUUUCUUCACUUCUAGAGCAGGACAAUGAAUGCUCGAUGAGUAUUAUAUGGAAAUCAUAGCUUGCAAAGUGCAUUUAGAAGUUUAGAGAAGUUAACUGUAUUACAAUGAUAACUUCCCUUCUUUACUUCUCGAGCAGGAUAAUGAAUUCUCGAUGAGUAAUAUAUGGAAAUCAUAACUUGCAAAGUGCAGUUAGAAGUUUAGAGAAGUAUACUGCAUGAUUAUAUGCUUUUCUAUCAUGAUGACCUACUCUAGCAAUUUAGUCGGGGGACAAAAAAGUCAGUUACCAGAAUUGUUCUAUUCUCAGAGCUAAUAUCGCGAGCAUUUAUAUGCAAAUCAGCGAGAAAAUGGAAGAACUAGAAAAAAGUGUCAAGAAAAGACAAGCUACCGUACCAACAACAUCAUAAAAACGGCAAUUGCCAUCCAUAUAUCCCACAACACCUCCCUGCACCAAUCACAAGCAACAAACUCAAAUAAGUUCCAAAACCAAGUACAAUCUUUAAGAAGGUUUAAAAAAGAAGCAAAGUGAUCAAACCUUUCCAUCAGGACUAUAACAAACAGCUGUCACUAUUUCCUUUACAUCAGUCCAAUCAAUCACUCGACACCCAUGCACCUCCCAGAGACGUACUUUCCCAUCUAUUGAGCCACUAAUGAAAUAAUUAUCAUCCAUGGGAUUGAACUCUACACAGGUGACUGUAUCCAAGUAUGACAUGGGCAGAUGUAUGAGAUGAGAAUCCAGUUUACAGUUUAGAAAAAUACUUCAGCAAGAAGAGUGAAAACACAGAAAUAGGCUCACCAUAAUUAUUGUGCGAAUAAACACCAAGGCAUUUAUCAUGUCCAACUUGCCAGAGACGAGCUGUUUUAUCAACAGAAGAUGACAGCAGAUACUGCAGCAAAUAAUGUUCGUACAAGAAUUACGGUUUAUUAAUGUAGGAUGAUGUUUUAUAAAGCUGUAAAAUAUACUCUCGUCAUUCACUUUUACUUGUCCAUAAUGGACUUUGCACUCCCCUUAAGAAGUAAUAAAUGAAGUGCAUACUUUACUUAAAUGCCCGUGACUAUUAGCAUUUCAAAAGAUCUUGAAAAAUGAUUUGGAGAAUGAGUAGUUAAUGUUAAGGGUAAAACAGAAAGAAAAAAAAA